AAACAAAUGAGGCAACAAAGCAACCUCAAACCUAGAACAGAGCAGCAAACUCACAAAGCACUCAUCUUCAACAAUCAAAUCUUUAUAACCAACUCGCCAUCCGAUAGGGUAACUUAUGAACCCAUUUUGGCGCCAGUUGAUAAAGAACCCAGGACCUAAUAUACACAAACGCAAUACAACAACAGUACCACCCGACCAGGUACUAACUCUUGUAUCAGUCGCUGUUAUAGCAUUAAGUAACUCAAGCUAAUAGUUAGAACAGAACCAUGCUCAGGGUCCAUGGAUUCCAACGGCUACUUCAUAGGCAAGCCCUUUAAGUUUUCCCAAGCAAUUCAGCAUUAGGAAGCUUCCACAGUGAUCCUACGGUUUUACCUUAACUGGUUAUUCUAAUAGUUCAUUGUAUUAGUUCCAAUCUACGAGACCUGGCACUACAUAGAGCUCCCGCAGAAUUAGGAAACCAUUUCCACACAGAAUCAUGGUUCCCAGCAGUUAAACAUGUCAAUAAAAAUAGACAGGUAAACAUCACACCAACCUAAAUUAUCCAAAAACUGACACAAAAACACAUAACCCGGAAUAGGAUCAACAGUGAUAUCUUACCUUGAUGAGCUCAUUGGCUUCAAGAUUCGCUAUCAAAGAAGCGGCUACCUUCUCCGUGAUGCCCGAUUUCCCGACCAAUUGGGACUUGAGCUUCUUCCCCAAUCCCUGAGCGUACGAAGCUAGCUCUUUCUUCUCCCUAACAGUCAAGUUCAGCACUUUCCCUUCAUUAGAAGAACAGGAAUCAUCGCCUCCAUUUUCCACUAACUCGGAACUUAACCGCUCACCUUCUCCUCCUUCCUCGUCUUCGGAAUCAAGCUCGAUUUCGCAGCUUAAACCUUCGCCGCUUUCCUCUACUAAAUCUUCUUCCUCCUCUUCUACUUCUUCGGUUGUACGAGAGUGUGAAGAGAAAGCACGUUUGGAGAAGAAGAGAACAGCAGAAUGGGAUUGGAGAAGAGUACCGGAGGAGGCGGUUGUUGUGCGACUGGAACUAGGGUUUAGCCUGAAGUAGCUAUCGGCGUGACUGGCUUCUGCGGCGGAUGACCGAAUUGAUUGGGAUGAGGAGGAGGAAAAAACCGGAUGCCUGAGUGUCGAUCGGAGGAGUCGGCGGAGGAUGCUGAUGGUGACGGCUGACGAGGCAGAGACCGAGGAAGCCAUCGCCGCCAUUACUGUUUAUGGCGCAAAUCGGAUUAAGCUUUCAAGCAUUUCUUUAAAAUUUAUGUGUGAUUACUAAUUCCGCACUCUACAUUAGUAUUUCUCGCUGUUUUAAUCCUUUAAGAUAUUAGACUACACAUUUCAGUACACUGACAAUUCACAAUGUCUCAAAACAGUCAAACUUCAGGGGGCAUUUAUGAUUAAGAUACUAAACAAAUAUUUAUAGACAAUUUAGUCCCUGAAGGGAUUGAUUACCUAAAUCUAUCACAAAAUUUUAGAUUUUCAAUCCAGUGAUCACUGAACGAAAAAAAAUCCUAGAGUAGUGCCAUGAGUGUUAACCUAGUGAUCACCUCCGUCUACGGUAUCUAAUUUUCUGUUCAGUUAUAUAUAUCAAAUUUAUGUCAUUUUGAAGAUAUUUCGUCUCAAAAUCACACACAAAUCACUCAUUCAAACGGUCUAUUUCAAAAAUAGUAAAUUUCAUUCAAAUAUCUAAUUAUUUCAAAUCUCUUCUAUUUCAAAUCACAUACCCAAAUGACAACCCGCAAAAAUUAUCCAUAAAUUACCUAUUCAAACGAUCUAUUCCGAAAAUAAAAAAUUUCACUCAAAUUUCUCCUAUUUCAAAUCCCUAAUUAUUUCACCUACCUGAAUCAUACAAAAAUUUAGUUCAGUUGACGUUGUAAAAGCAAAUGCAUGUCGACGAUUAAUGUACUAGUCGACAGGGUAGCAGAUUAUUAUAAGAUACUGGCAUUUAUUUCCGUGAAUAAUUGACAAUCAAUGUGAAAAUAUAUUUGUGCAUGAAUGGUGAGACAACAAAUGACAAAUAAGGUUUACGUAACGGUAGGUUUACGUUAGCCUUGUGUAACAACAGUUGUUUUUUAGGUAAUAGGCAAAAUUAAGCAUGUUAUGUAAGAGUAAAGGCUAUUAUGCAAGACUUACAUAACGAUAGUUGUUCCUUACGUAACAAACAAAAUUAAGUUUGUUACGUAAGAGUAAAAACCUUUACAUAAGUCUUACGUAACGACACUUAUUUUAUAGAUAACUAACUCAAAGUUAAGUCACCUUAUUUAAAUUAAAACAAAUUAUCGUAGAAAAUAUCAUAAUAUUUUAAAAAAGUUACCAACUAUAAAAAACAAAUUACAUAUUAUCAAAUUAUAUACAAACAUGCACGUUCACGUCCGAUCCGGUUAAAAAAACUCAAACUUCUUGCACCCUAAUUAACACAAUAGACGAGACCAAGAUUUCUCUUGCACAUAAAACCCAAAAAAGCACUACUCCCAAGUAACGUCGGGUUCUGCAUGCAUGCAAAGUCACAAAAGCACAUCAGCCGGUGACCGUAGUACGCUUCCCGACGGUCCCCCGGUGAACGGAAGCCCGGUUGGAGCUGUCGCGCGGCGCGGAGAAACAAAAUGACUAUUAUUUGGCUAAGUAUUUUGCUUAACCUUUUUAAUAUUGUUGGAGUUAGCUGAUCCUAACUCUCUCUUUUUUUAAUUAUGUUGACAACAUUUUUAAUUUAUUGUAAAAGUGGUUUAUUAAUUAUCCACAUUAAUGCAAUUCAUCUUUAUUUUUAAAAAUGAUCCAUAUUGUAAUUUUAUCAUUACUAAUAAAAAUAAUAAUGUAAUUAUUACAAGACCAUCUCCAACCUAAUAGGCUAUGAAAUAGAUGGGUGUGGCAGACCCAUAAACAAAAGGACCUCUUUGCUAUGCUCUUACUUUUAAAAGGAAAAAAGUGCCAUAAAUAUAUAAAAAAAUAUGACUGAGUUAUUUGUUAAUUUGGCCAGUUAGCUAUAUAUUUGCCUGGUCUANNNNNNNNNNNNNNNNNNNNNNNNNNNNNNNNNNNNNNNNNNNNNNNNNNNNNNNNNNNNNNNNNNNNNNNNNNNNNNNNNNNNNNNNNNNNNNNNNNNNNNNNNNNNNNNNNNNNNNNNNNNNNNNNNNNNNNNNNNNNNNNNNNNNNNNNNNNNNNNNNNNNNNNNNNNNNNNNNNNNNNNNNNNNNNNNNNNNNNNNNNNNNNNNNNNNNNNNNNNNNNNNNNNNNNNNNNNNAUUUAGGUUAUUUUAGAUUAAAUAAUUAUGCUAUACAGGGUCUGAUAAUGAUCAUUUGAGAUUAUUUUUGUUUCAUCUGGUCUACCUAAAUUCUUUCGGAUGACAUAGUGUCUACCAACAAAAAUCUAACAAUGCUAUAUACAAUAGUGGUGAAUUUUUCAGUAUAUAUUUGGCAUAUCGAAACUUUCGGUGUGCCAAAUUUUUUUUUGGUAAUGUAAAUCCAUCACCAACGUCCAUUUUCAUAAUUAUUCAAAUAUUAAAUUUCUAUUUCACAUUUUAUUAACAUAAUCGCUCCAUACAAACAUAUCUUUAAUCUUAUUUUCAUAAUUAUAACCCCAAGCGUUUAAGAUGUUAGAAAGCUUACGCGAAAACGACCGGCAAGUAGAAGAAAUCAUACGCUGCAUGAGCCAAGUCGCCCAGAUUCUCACCACUGCUAGAUUCCUCGUCGACGACAUUCCUUUUAAUAUUCCUCGUCGCCCAGAUACUUUUUAAAAUAUGAAAUCCUGCUAAAUACAGUUGAUACUUUUUAAAAUACGGUGAAAUUAAUAUAAUAUCUUAAAUUUUAUCUUACAUUAGUUUCGAACGAAGUACAUUACGAAAACUAACUUUAUUAUUUUCAUUCAAGUUUCAUUUCACAUUCUACUUUGCAAACAUAUAUAUAUCGCUAAAUAUUUAUGAAUGAUGAUGUUGAGAUUCGAAUAUGAGAACCUGCUAAACACAAUCGAUAUUUUUUAAAUCACAAUAUAUGACUACGAAGAUUGACAGUUUUUUAAUUUUGUUCUGUCGGAAUUAUUUGAAUUAGUUGAAGAUUUCAUAUGAUUUUCUUCCAAUUUAUAAUUGCAAUAUGACAAUGAAUGACGGUGACGUUCGUUUGGUUACCAUAUCGGCCAUAGAAACGUUGCAACAGCAACCAUGUUAUUGGACAUAGUUCUGCGGCAAAUAGUAAAAUAGUAUUUCUAAUCAGCAAGUAAUUGUUCAUUCCGAACGUCAGAUUUGAUAAAUAAAAAAAUAAUUUUAAAUUAAGGGUAAAUUUAUCAUUUUUUUUUUCUUAUAAAUAAUUAGUUUCUUAACAAGUAUUGGAUUUUAGGUUUUAAUUUUAGGAUAUUGAGUUUUCAAUUUUAAAUUUUGAAUUUUAAAUUUUGAAUUUUAAAUUUUGGGUGUAAUUUUUUUUUAAAUGAUAAAAUUGUCCAUGUGGGCAAUUUAUUUGCCGCCUAAUUUGGUAGCCAAGUUGAUGAGUGUAGGCCAAGUGUAUCUUUCCUGAUUUGGCCAUUUGCUAUAUACCGAACGGCGACGUUUCAUUUGUUUUUUUUUAUACCUCUGAUGACACAUUUAAUUAGCGGUUUCUAAUUAAUUACCCGCCUAAAAAUUAUUCAGCUGAAAUUGAUUUCAACUGGGUGCCAUUUGAAAUGUAUAAUGCGAAGGCACAAUCGUUUCGCAAGUGGAGGUGUUGGACCGAGCUAGGGUUAACUUGGUGAGAGUUGGUGCAACAUUGAUGGCACCUUUCCAGCCAUUUCAAACCUUUUCCGUAGAACUCAUGUGCCCUCGUCUUGUGGUUUCUGACUUAUAAAUAUGUUGCGUGCAAAUUUUUAAGUGGUUUUGCUUUUAAGAAUUCGACUGUGGGCGGUCUCAUCUCCGAAAAUGAUAUAUUUCUUUCAACUCAAGGUUGGUCGAUAUUUAAUUUUGUUUCCUUUCUAAAAGGUGCUAUUCUAGUUUAGUUUAUAAUAUCUUGCUCUCUAUUAUUGAUCUUCUGCAUAAUUGAACUCGUUUUAGGAAAUGUUGAUCUUACUUCCACAGUUGCCAUUCUUAUCACUAUAUAUGUUACGCCGGUACGAUACGGUUUUGAAACCAUUGCUUCUGAUUAGAGAAUUGAAGUAUUAUAUGGCGUCUAAUUCUUGCUUAGGGUUCUUAAUUACUCUCUUAAUCAUGUUUCUGGUAUGCCUAAUUUCCCUUCUACUGAUCAUGUUUAGUCUUAAUAAUUACUCUGUAUCUAUAUAUAUAUAUUCAUAAUUAACAGCCCUUUAACUAACUGAUCAUGCAGCUGGGUAUGAUCUAUCCCACAAAUGCCAGGACAUUAGGAAUUGCUGCAAGCGAGUCCUACUGGAGAGAUGUCAUGAAAGGUCAACCUUUGCCGGAAUCACUCAAAUCCCUCGUCGUUGCUGAGGUGGCGGUGGCAAACAAUGAUCGGGAAGGAAAGGGGUGUGAAGCCGAGGAGAUUGUGUUGAAGGUCGACGAUCUUUCAUCUGACAAAUUCAAUAUUGAUAUCGAGCCACAACCUCAAGGCCGUGACGUGGUUAGUACUAAUAAGUUGAUCACAACAAAUAUUGAGUCACAACCUAAAAUUUCAAGUUAUGUCGAAAAGAUGACUAGGAAAUUCGCAAAAGAUAUUGAGCCGCAACCUCAAGCCACAGAUUACCGCGAGGGCGUCAAGCCAACUAAGUUUACAAAAGAGACUAAGUCGCAACUUCAAUUUUCGGGUUUUGACGGAAAUAGCAAGAAGUUUACCGAAGAUAUCGAGCCUCAACAUCAACUUACGAAUUAUCGCAACGACAUCCAUCCAAAUGAGUUUACAAAAAGUAUCAAGCCGGAAUUUCAAGUCACGGUUCAUGGCAAUGGCAAUAAGUUUACAAAUGAUAUUGGGUCGGAACCUCAAGUUUCGGAUUACCGCAACGUGAUCAACCCAAACAAAUUCCCAAAGGGUACAAUCGAGCCACAACCUCAAAUCAUAACUUAUGGCAACGGUAAAAAAUUUACAAACGAUAUCAAGCCGCACCCUCAAGUUACAGAUUACCGCAACCACAUCAAACCAAACAAGUUCACAAAGGGUAUUGAGCCACAACCUCAAGUUACAGACUACCGCAACGUCGUCGAACCAAACAAGUUCACAAAGAGUAUCAAGCCACAACCUCAAGCGACAAGUUAUGGCAAUAUCAAAAUCUUCACAACAGAUAUCGAGCCGCAACCUCAAGUUUCAAAUUACCGCAACGAGAUCCGUCGGAGCAAGUUGGUGAUGGAAUCUUGAAGUCGAUGUGGUUUAGUUCACUUUUUACCUAUGGUCUUUUGUCGGUUGGAGUGUAAGAAAAAUAAGGUCAAGUAAUUUCAUCCUGAUUAUGUACUUGUAAUGCUAUUUUAGAAAGCAAUUAUAGCUUUCUACUCUAUUUGUACAACUUUUUUAAAUACGACAAUAAAACGCUCUUAGUUAUUAUUCAGAAUACAAGUAAACUUAAAAAAAGAGACGUCAAUCAAAUUAGAAUAGAGCUAACAUGACAAGCCUUGAUAAUAUAACGGUUUUAAAACCCCUGUUAAUCGGUAAUGAUUUAACAGUAGAAAUAAAUCUUUGUUAAUCGGUAGUGGUUUAACAGAUUAAUCUUACGAGAAAAUUAGUAUGAACGGAUGAGUCAUAUAUAGGCUUGAGAAUGGAUCGGAGUUGGAUUUAUAUGAAUUCAUUAUCCAUCCAUUGUAUUUUUGGAUUUAGGGAAUGCCCGCCAGAUGAUAACAAUCAGAUUUAGAUUUUGGAUUUGGUUGGGGAUCCAAAUUUAAUCCGAAACAUACUAAACCAAGAUUGAAAAUUGAGUUUAAACCAAAGCAAAAUCAACCAGAUAACCAUCAAAUUAUCCAAAAUACUAAAUUUACUUAACAACCUUCAUUAGCAAAAUCCAUCGUAGCAACUAGUAAUAUAAACCAAACAAUAAUCCCUUCAACAGAAACAUAAACCAAACUAGUCUAGGAUUAUUUUUAGGUAUAUAUACUUCCGAGCGGAGUCAGAUCAGAUACAUGUGAAUCUGAUACACACCCGUUACCAGUCACCUUCAAAUUCGAAUCCGGACAAACUGAAUUUUUUCCGGGUUAACCAAAUCAGAUUCAGACGAUUUUUCGAAUUUUCGGAUCAAAAUACCAAACCUAAUCACAUAUCAAAAUCUUAUCAACAGUCUCAACCCAAAAAUUUGAUUGGGCCCAGCAAUUUUGUUGUUGUUGGAGAGAACGUUUUGGAUCAAUGAGUUAAGGCCCAAUGAAAUAUCACAGACAUAAGCUCAAAUCAAAGCCCAAGCUGAUGAACGGUAUAAUCUAUCGACCACAGACAAUCUCUAUAUCCAUGCAUAAACCCUAGCCAAACUUUCCCCCUCAAGCAAUUCCGGUUCAGAGAUUCUCCCCGUCUCCGUUCUCCAUUUCGUCCCGUCGUUCUCCAAGGUUCGUCCCUCGUGCCUGAUCACUCUCUUUAUUAAGCCAUUUUCUUCGCUACGGAGAAAUGCGCGUGACUUAGUAAUCCCUAGGACAAAUAUAGCUUCCAUGGUUGUUUCUGCUUUCAUCUCAUUGACUACAAUAUCUUUCCAUUGUCCUGAUCAAUUAGAAAAUGUAUGAUUUUCAGCUUCACAGACUGCACUAUUUUUUGGGCAAUUCGUGAUUUUCUUAUUUUUCGAUCGUCUUUAUAAGUUUCAGGCUUUCAGCUUAUGUUUUGGUUUUUGUGAGAUACUGAGAUUCAGAGCUUCAACUACUGGUUCGAAUAGUGAUAAUGAAUGCUUAUAGAGCUGUUUCAGUUUCUGAUGUUUGUGUUUAGCACUCGAAUUGGUCUCGAAUUUUGUUAACUGGUUUUGGUUGUUCUGUGGAUUUAGUUCAAGCUAAGAUGUACACCGCUAAGCAGAAGAUCCACAAGGAUAGGGACGUCGAACCUUCCGAAUUCGAGGAGUCUGUUGCUCAGGUUUGGAGGAAAAAACCUUCCUUGAUAGUUCUAUUGACUUGACUAGAUUUGAAAAUUGAGUCUGAUUAAGCAUGAUGCUCUGUUGUUACUACAGGCGUUCUUUGAUUUGGAGAAUACCAACCAGGAGCUGAAGAGUGAGUUGAAGGAUCUCUACAUUAACUCGGCUACGUGAGAAUUAAGAAUUCAUUUUGAUUUUUAUUUCGGAGUUAUGGCCAUUUUUGUUUUUUAUCACUAUUACUGAUUAUCGUGUUCUGCAGCCAGAUUGAUGUCUCUGGGAGCCGGAAGGCUGUUGUGAUCCAUGUUCCUUACAGGCUUAGGAAGGCUUUCCGUAAGGUUCAUGCUCGGCUUGUGAGGGAGCUCGAGAAGAAGUUCAGUGGAAAGGUGAACAUGAACUUUUCAUUUGUUUUGGCUGCUACAAAUUAUGCAUUUAUGUGUGUUAGUAGUUGAGUUGGCUUUUUCAUGAACGAGUUUUCAGGACGUCAUUGUGAUAGCUACAAGGAGGAUGGUGAGGCCACCAAAGAAGGGCUCUGCUGCUCAAAGACCUCGCAGCCGCACACUCACCUCAGUCCACGAAGCAGUGCUUGAGGACAUCGUGAUGCCAGCUGAGAUUGUGGGGAAACGAACUAGGUACCGAGUCGAUGGUACCAAGAUCAUGAAGGUAAUGCUGCUAGUUCCUUUGUUGUUGUCGAUAUUGAACUAGUGCUGUAUAGUAUAGAGAAAUUCAGCCAACAUUCGACAUUUGUUCUUGCUUAUGAUUGACACAAUGGGCUCAUUUGAUUGUGAAAUCGAUGCUGGUGCAGGUGUUCCUAGACCCAAAGGAGAGGAACACCACGGAUUACAAACUAGAGGCCUUCUCGAAAGUUUACAGAAAGCUUACAGGCAAAGAUGUCGUAUUUGAGUUCCCAGCAACUGAAGUGGCCUAGGUAGAGGUUAGCUAGCUAGCUAGCUCAAAGCUACAUGUCGUUUUCGAGAUGAUUACGGUGUUGGUAAUUCAAUUUUUGUGUUCAAUGUUAACUUACUAUGUGAGGAAACCAGAUCUCUCCAAAUCGGAUUAUCAAUUUAUCAUUGGUAGAGUCACAACAUCCAGUAUUAAGCAUCAUAUAGUGACAAUGAAGUCGAUACCUAUGUGUUUUCUGAUUACGGUUGUGCAAAUUGGCUCGAAAUGGUUAUCGGAAUACCCUCUUGCCUCUAAUAUUUACCUUGGGUAUCGAGCCACAACCUCAUUUAUCAUCGUAUAGCAACAAUGAUCAUCGAUUCAUAAUAUUUUCACACUACAAAUUCACCAUGGUUACCGAGCAACAGCCUCGAAUGUCUCUUCAUUUGUCAUCGGAUGGAAAAUCGACAUUUUAAAACAUCAGUGUCAUUUUUGUUAAUGAUGUUUCCACCAUAGUGUGGCAUGCAAAUUGAUAAUUGAUUAGUUACUAACUGUAGAAACCAUUAUGGUUAAUCCAUUUAACCAUAUCCGUGGCCUAACUCUACUUCACUCGGUCCGACCAUCUGAGUAAUCAUUUUCCACUGACCAUACGGGCCAGGGGGACGACGGGCCUCGCAUUUUGCAAAUAGAAGUUAUAAACCCAAAAAGUCAUCAGAAACAUAAAGCCCAAUUUUAGUCAGCCCAGGCAAUCGAGCAAGCCCAGUUUUCGUAUUCAUCCUGCAUAAAACCCUAGCUAACAAUUAGCAGCCCUCCGCGCAGUUCUCCACUAGAGCAGAAAUCCUCAGAACUAUCGUCGCCUCCCUUGACGAUUUCGUGCCGCCGCUCUUCUCGGUAGGCACUGCUUUUACUCUCUACUGGAUCCUGUUCUUCGUCUUCCGUUGUUUUGUUUGUCUAAUCUCUGAGAAAAUGUAUGCUAAUAGCGUAAUCCUGGGUUAUCUUCCCACUGAAAUCUAAGUUUGAGUUUUAGCUUCACGAAAGUCUCUGUUUUCUCUCAUGGCUGGUUUAUAUCUUUUAAUUUCCGGUAUCAGUUACGGCUGUGUUAGUUUACCAAACCCUAGUUGAAUCAUAACGCCUAACUUUUAUUUCUCUGCUCAUUUGGUGAGGGAGGUCUUCACUUCUGCAUACAUAUUUUCUUUUAGAUAACCAGAACGUUGUCAACCUAAUAAAGCUGCUGUCUUUUCUGUUGUGUGUUCGUGUUUAGCUGCCAAUUCGGGUUUCAAUGUUUAACCGUUUUGGUUUUGUGUUGUUUGUUCUGGUAAAUGCAGUUCACGGUAAGAUGUAUACCGCAAAGCAGAAGAUCCACAAGGAUAAGGAUGUUGAGCCUUCAGAGUUUGAGGAGUCUGUUGCUCAGGUAUGCGGAAAAGACACAUUCCUUCAGACUAUUGACUUUAGAAGAUUGAAAUUUGAUUCUGAUUAAGGUAUGUGGUCUUUGUCUGUGCUGCAGGCGUUCUUUGAUUUGGAGAAUACCAACCAGGAGCUGAAGAGUGAGCUUAAGGAUCUCUAUAUCAACUCAGCCACGUAAGAUUUGCAUCAUUUCUACUAUGUGAAGUGACGACUGCGUUUUAUUCAGUGACUGAUAUUUUAUGCCUGUUUGUGUACUGCAGCCAGAUUGAUGUCUCUGGCAGCAGGAAGGCUGUUGUGAUCCAUGUUCCUUACAGACUUAGGAAGGCAUUCAGGAAGGUCCACACCAGACUAGUGAGGGAGCUUGAGAAGAAGUUCAGUGGAAAGGUAAUUGAACAUGCAAUUUGUUUUGUCCACUAUUCCUGUUUGACCUUUACCUUCUGGAUAAAGGCACUGAAAGUUACCCCAAAGCUGUAUAUUGGUUUGUACACUGCACUGUUGUAGACUUGUUGUUCUAAGUUGGCUCACUUUGUUGAACUUAUUUUCAGGAUGUCAUUGUUAUUGCUACCCGGAGGAUGGUGAGGCCACCAAAGAAGGGCUCAGCAGCUCAAAGACCCCGCAGCAGGACUCUCACUUCGGUCCAUGAAGCAGUGCUCGAGGACAUUGUGAUGCCAGCUGAGAUUGUUGGGAAACGUACUAGGUAUCGCAUUGAUGGAACCAAGAUCACGAAGGUAAUUCCUUUGUGUUUGUUGAUAUUGAAACAAUUCUAUGUAUUACACAAACAUCCUACCAGCAGUUGACAUUAGCUAGCUAUUUAGCUCUGUACCUUCUUUGGACGUCAUAGCACUAGCUCAUCAGAUAUUCAAGUUCCUUGUAACUCAUAAUGUUUGGUCGUGUAGGUGUUCCUAGACGCAAAGGAGAAGAACACCACGGAGUACAAACUAGAAGCCUUCUCCAAAGUUUACAGAAAGCUCACUGGCAAGGAUGUCGUCUUUGAGUUCCCUGCAACUGAAGUGGCAUAAGGAGGUUAGCUUAGCUAGAUGAAAGCUACAUGUGGGUUAUGAGAUGCUGAGGGUGUUGUUAUCUCUACUAUCAAGAAUUGUUGUUUCUUAAGAGAUGUUUCAGUUUUGCUAUUUAUCCCCCCAGUGUUCUCUCUUGUGGACCUUUGUUUUAAAGAGAGUUUACCAGUCGAAUCUGCAAUGAAUCUUUUGUGUUUUGCUAUAAUGUAAGGUCUUUGCACAUCUUUCUGGAUACUUGUCUUCAUUAACGUGCUUGGCAUUCCUCAUAGGAAUCCUUCGUCUUGUUAUGUUUCGUAAUUGCAUAUCAUGCUUAAGGGUGGCCAACCUAGAUGGGCAAAUUAGCAAUCCGUGCUUGAUAAAUGGUUUGAUUUAUUGCUUUCAUGCUAGUUGCUAAGGUUCUUAGCUUUGGAUUUGGUAAAAACUGAAUUUUGGUUCGAACUCAAACUCGAAGUUGAGUUUUAACUCGAGAGUUUGCCGAGGACCUGGAGUGCCAAUCAAUUGUGCCAGCUACUCCAUUACUACCGCUCCUAACAAACAAGGCUGUGGAAUUCAGUUUAAACGCAAGUAAGUCUUGAGACAAUCAUCAGUGAUGGCACCAAACUCUGUGGCAUCAGUUAUUGGCCUUGUAACAGCCAUCUGAACCGCGUUUUGAGUAUCACAUUUUGAAAGGCUCGAGGCCAUCAUCCAUUGAAUCCCGAUCAACAGUGCUCAAGCUUCACCUUCCUUGACUGCCGGAAGACCUGCGAGAAUAUGUUGAUGCCAGCCCUUAAUUUGCCCAGCCAUGUCUCGAAUAACAACCGAGUAUGAUAUCGGAACAUAUGAAAGUGAGAAAUCUGUUAAUAAACAUGGCCGCUGGGCAUUCAACGUCAGCAGCAGAGCCAUCUCCUUGGUGACCAAUACUGCGGGACGCCAUUGUGCGUGUCUCUGUCGUCCCUACAACGUAGACCAAACCUCGUGCACUGCAUUUAUUUGAUAACUAAUAUGUAAGUGUAGACCCGAAAAUAGGGCAGAGAGUGCUAAUAUUCUUUGUUAGUGGGGUAUCUUUGUUUCCUGCUGAUGAACUGCAGACACAAACACAAGAAGAAGAAGUGAUCUGGAAGGGAAAGUAUUAUUAUUAUGAUCAUCAUCUUCAGCCCCAAAAAGCUGUGAAAUGCACGUGAGCCGCUUGUGGGAAAAGCACAACGAAAAAGAAAUCAGUCAGUGGAUAGAAGAAGAUGGGAGGAGGAUCCCUUUCUUGUUGAUUAAACCUCCCUCCCUCCAUGGCCCCAACCCAACUGCAUAUACAGCUCACAUAACCACCACAUCCUAAAUCUACAAGACUACAACUAUCCCAAGAGAAGAUUAACAUGAUCACUACGCAAGGGAGGGAUACGCAAAAUUACUUGCAUCGACCGGAUUAGAAAGGCCGGUACAAAGAAUACCAGCAAAUGAGUUUAACUGCAUCCGUCCCGUCCUCAUAUUUAUCAACUCAAAAUGUACUCUCGCCUAUACAACGUCUUGCUUCCCACCAUUUUCUCUUGUGGUUGGGUUAGUAACUUACACUCACCUUUCUCUAUCUCCCAAUUGGCAACAACUAAGAACUAAUGAAACAGUCUCUAGCUAUGCUUUGAUUGCAGUCAACCGUCCCUCUCUCACACUCUCUCACAUGUAAGAUUAAUUGUGCGGAAUGGAUGUGUCUCCACUAUUACUUUGCUCACUUGCUUCAAAUUCUACUCUUUUUUUUCCCAAACCUAACUUAGAGCUUAUUGGAGCUUGUCUCGUUGGCUUCAAAUCUGGGGCCCAAAGGUAUCAAUUUCCAUCCAAAGUUUAGAAAUAGUUAGUGAAGAUACGAGACACUUUUUAUGUGGAGUAAUUUAGUUGAUACAUGAGUUAUAUAAAUUAUAAAUUAAAUUAGUCUGGUCAUAUAUUAAAUUGUUACAAUGUGCUUUCGUAUGCAACUCGUAUCCAACAUGACCAUUUGAUUAUAAAGAGUGAUGAAUCGCCAUAUUAAUGUGAAAAAAUUUUGCCCGUAGGACAUGUGACAAAUUCCAAGUACACCAUAGAACUACUAUUAAUAUACACAUGGAAGACGUGAAACAAGGUAUCUACAUGCGACGAUAAUGUAAAUUUAUCGAUAGUAUCUCUCGAGUUUCACCAUUCACCAAUCAUCAUUUACUAGUCAAAACGGUAAUGUAAAUUUACUGAUGUUAUCUCUCAAGUCUCGCCAAUCAUCAUUUACUAGUCAAACCUCACCAAUCAUCGUUUAUUAGUCAAAUCGAUAAUUCUCAUAUACUAAAAUUGGUUUUUGUAUAUAAUUUUAUCAAUUAGUUUGCACAAUUAAAACUAAAAUAAAAUAAUGUUGGUUUUCAAAGAAAAUACAAUCAUAUAGCACCGUAAGAAUUCUUAAGUAUUCACAAAACUACGAAGUCAUAAUUCAAAAAUUGUCAUUUUAGUGCUACUUGGGGUUAUCAGCGUGAACUCCGAAAGUCAUGUGGUUGAUGUGGUUCUUGAAGGUCAUGUUAUUUUUUGCUUGCUUCGCGGGAAGGAGGAGGAUCAAAUAUUUGGUCUGAUUACAGGGAUGUUGUUGUUACGUGCAACUUGUCGCUUGAUGAGUGUCCCUAGGAAUGCACCGUUAUGAUUGAUGCUGUGUGUGACCUGUUGACGAUUCAUCCUCAAAUUCAUGUUCUUCAGUGUCCGCUAAUUUGUGUAAUGUCUAUUUGUUCUAUAUAUUUUUAAUAGAAUGAUUUAUAAAAUCACCAUCAUUUUUAUAAAAAUAAAGCUCUAUAUUCUCCUCGUCCAUCAGAAUAUUGUUACGGACCAUCAACCCAAAAAAGAAAUUCUUAAAUCUGAUUUCAACUGGCCUGCAAAAUAAUGUGACAGCUGUGUUGUUUUGUACACGUGGCGCCAUCUCAUCAAAGCAGUCACAACGGCCAAAACCGUUGCCGUUAUUUCUUUCCUACCAACUCCGUCGGCCGUCGGCACACGUCGACAAAACCCGUAUAGGGGUAAUUCAGUAACUUGGCCUGUUAUUAAACAAUUGUUUGGCUGCUAUUCCCGCUCAUUUUUUACUGUUGGUUUGAAAAUCGUCUCUCCCCCUUCGUGGGCCCUCUCACCUUCUCCCACCAUCUCACGCCAAUCCUACCUUUUCACAGUAACCGAACCCUAAUCCUCCGAUUAAGGAAGAACUAAUUAGUUAAUUACUGUAAAGUACCUUAAAAUGAAUCCCAUGUCAAAUUUUACCCUAUUUUUAACGGAUGGGAUAAAUAUAUGAUUAGCAUAAUUUUCACACACAAAAUUGAAUUGUGCGAAACAAAAAUAAAUCGUUCUAAAAAGGCGAAUAUUGAAGCAUAAUUUUCACAUUUCUCGACACCAAACUCCAUUUACAAAAAUUGUAUUCUAUACUUACUUUUAUAAGGUGAAACUUUAUUGGAAAACUUUUUAUAUCUAUUUUUUAUGAUGAAUUUGUACGAGUGUAUGUUAUUUUGUUGGCAACAAAUAGAUUAUGUCAUAGAAAUUUUUUGGGAUGUAUAACAAAUUAUUUUGUAAAGAAGGAUUUGGUAGAAUUUGUUGCUUUCUCAUCAUCUUAGCUUUAGUUCGAGUUAAAAUCGAAAAAUAUAACUUGUAUUCAACGCNNNNNNNNNNNNNNNNNNNNNNNNNNNNNNNNNNNNNNNNNNNNNNNNNNNNNNNNNNNNNNNNNNNNNNNNNNNNNNNNNNNNNNNNNNNNNNNNNNNNNNNNNNNNNNNNNNNNNNNNNNNNNNNNNNNNNNNNNNNNNNNNNNNNNNNNNNNNNNNNNNNNNNNNNNNNNNNNNNNNNNNNNNNNNNNNNNNNNNNNNNNNNNNNNNNNNNNNNNNNNNNNNNNNNNNNNNNNNNNNNNNNNNNNNNNNNNNNNNNNNAAUCUAGUUUUUUUAUAAAAAAAUUGUAUAAUUUAGUUAUAAAAUCUAUUAAAAAAUAUCAACAAAUAUGUUGAGGUAAAUUUUUUUUACACAGAUUGAAAAUUGAAUAAACAUUAUAAAAUGAUCGAUCAGUGUUCAUACAGUAUUAGGCAUGACUAUAAAAGAGGAUCAAUUUGUACAGGUUAAAAACUGCCGUGAUUAGAAAAGCAAUAGAUCUCAACUAUAAUGACAUCAAAUUUUGCAAAGAAGUUAGAAGCACGAUUGCUUUUAAAAUAAUCACACACAUUAAAGAAAAGCUCUCCUUUCUCAACCCCCUUUCUGUCUCUCCAUUUCUCUGCAACUCUCUUUGUCGUAAAGAAGACGAAAGACUCUCUCUCCCUCAUUCUCCACUCCUCCUCCAUUUUCUUCUUCACAGAGGUUGCUUACAGCAACGAAGCGAAUCAUCAAUUUUCUCCACAAUGCAUUUCGCUUUACACCUCAUCGCCACGUGACUCCUUCACUGACACGCUCUUCUUCUCCUUCCUGAACCAUUCCAAUUCCUCUUUACGCUUCCUCCGCCUCGUUCGGAGAGGUUAUUCGCUCGCGAGGAAGAAUUUAGGAGGUUUUAGAGAAGCUACGUAUGGCAUCUUCCUCCGGAGCAAGGAGCAGCUCACCGUUCUCAUACCGCAAGUCAUCCAGUCCUUACUCUUCUACUUCCUCCACUUCGUCUUACAUGAGCGGCAGCAACCGUCUCAUUCCGCGUUCCAGCUCCUCAUCGGCUUCUUUCAUCGGCUUCUUCUUACUUGAAUAACUCAGGUGUGGGAGGAGGAGGAGGAGGUUACGGUGCUCGAUCCAUGGCUCCUAGCCGGUCGCAGUCGGAUUCAGUUUACUUAGGCGGUAGCUCGCGCGGUGGUUAUGGAAAUCGUACGCCGGUUGGUUACGAGGAGCUGAUUGCGGAGCCGGUUGAAGCUCCGAGGAGUGGUGAGAGUAUAUCGGUGACGAUUCGGUUUCGACCGUUGAGGUAAGUGUUGGAUCUGAGUGCUAGUCGACUGGAUCGGAUCUACUGUUCCAUUUCAGUUUAGCGUAUAGUAAUGUGCACUUUUUUGGUGCUGUUUGGGUACAGCGAGAGGGAGUUUCAGAGAGGAGAUGAAAUUGCAUGGUACGCCGACGGAGAUAAGAUCGUUAGGAAUGAGUAUAAUCCAGCUACGGCUUAUGCAUUCGGUACUGUGAAUGUGACUUCGAUUUUUUUUAAUAUUUGCGGUGGCUUUUGAGCUCGUGAUUCUUAUUAAUUGCUAGAGUGGAGUGGAUUGGAGAUGCUAAUUUUGAGUUGCGUCGAGCAGAUAAAGUAUUUGGACCGCACACAAUUACUCAAGACGUGUAUGAUAUUGCUGCCAAGCCAGUGGUCAAGUCUGCAAUGGAGGGAAUUAAUGGUAGGUUGUUUAGAUAUGCAUUUGGUAGUGGGAGGCACUCUGAGCUCUCUGACCGCCUUGCUGUGUAGUUCCUUACCAUCGUUCACUAAGUGAUUUACACUCUUUCCUAUUACAAUUUUGUCCAGGAACGGUGUUUGCCUAUGGUGUCACAAGUAGUGGAAAGACAUUCACUAUGCAUGUAAGCUGAACUCUUGCUUACUGGUUGCUUUCAAAUAAUUUACUUGAAACCAAAGUGUGGAGUAGAAGGUUUAUGAUUGAGGUUUGAAUUUAUGCGUUGCAGCCAAAAAUUUCUCAAGGUCUGCUUGCGUUGUUAUUGACAUAACUAUUGCGUUUUGUUUCCCUUGUUUAAUUAUGUGCAGGGAGAUCAAAGUGCUCCUGGUAUUAUACCUUUGGCUAUAAAGGAUGUUUUCAGCAUGAUCCAAGACGUAAGUAGCCAGUAUUUACUUAGCUUUUCCACCACGAAUGGUGUGCCAAACUGUGUUCCAUUUCCCAGCUCUUCUGGCUGCUGGUAUCUGUUGCAUAUGAGGCAGUGAAUUCUGAUCCAAUAACUGCUAGCGCCUGUACAAAGAUAACAGGUCUGAGAUAUUGGUUGGCUUGUGGCAAUUCAACUGUGGAGAUGUAUGUGAAACUAGUAAUUUUGCUUGAUGAUCUUGUAGUGGUUCUCCUUCUGAUUUCUGUUUUAGGAAACAUCACUGGUUGGUCAGGGAUGUAUAAUUCAUUUCAAUGUUUGUUUCAGACUCCUGGGAGAGAGUUUCUGCUGCGGGUUUCAUAUCUGGAAAUUUACAAUGAGGUCUGUUAAAUAUAGCAGAAUUUCUUUACAACUUAAUUACAUUGCAUUGAGUCAUGACUACAUUGUUUGUGCUCAGUUUAGCUCUUUAAAUACUGCAAUACUAUCUCAGCAGGACUGAAUUAUUUGAUAUUAUCUAUUAUGUUUUGCGUUCUUCUGUUAGUUUCUACUCAUCCAUGCACAUUAAUUGUUUCCUUCAUUGGGUUCUAAUGCUUGCUCCCAUAUCAGGUUAUCAAUGAUUUACUUGAUCCAACUGGACAGAAUUUGCGAGUUAGAGAAGAUGCACAGGUAUUCUGCUUAUUGCAUAAACAUAAAUGUAUGAACGUCACUUGUUUGCUGCUUAAUCCCUUAUCUCCUUCUAAAUCCUGAAAUGGCAAAAUAAAUUAACAGAUUGACAUUUCUUCAAACUAUUGAUGGAGCUUUCUGUAACAAAUGAUCCUGUUAACUUUCUCUUUGGAGUGGAGUGUCUGCACAGACCAUUGACAUGACAUGCACAUUAUUCCACUUACCCUGUCUCCAUAUUUUCCAGGGUACUUACGUCGAGGGUAUAAAGGAAGAAGUUGUUUUGUCUCCAGGACAUGCAUUGUCUUUUAUUGCUGCGGGAGAAGGUAUUUAGUUAGUACAUUCUGAUGAUGUGUGUAUAUAUGUUUGAUUAAGCAAGUUCCUUACUGUUGGUUUAAUUGAUAUGUGAUGCAGAACAUCGCCACGUUGGUUCAAAUAAUUUCAAUUUGUUCAGUAGCCGAAGUCACACCAUAUUCACACUGGUAAACGAAUUUCCUCCGGUGAUACACAUACAAAUCUGAUAAUAUGUUAGUAUUCUUGUCAGCGUAAUUCUUUAAUAUUUGGCCAAGUCCGUAGUGACUAACUUACAUGCCUUAUGACUGGCAAUGGUCGAUUAAUGCCUGGCUGAGUUGAUGGGGUACCUUUUCCUAGAACAGAUUCACUGUUUGGAAGAUGUUUCUCAUCUUUUUCAAUCAUUUUCUGUGUAUACGUCGGAUGUAGUAUUGGUGUAAUUGUAUUCCUGUUGGUAAGGCUUCCAAGAUAAUGCCGUUCCAGGAAUCAGGAUACUAAUGAAUAGCUAUCGCCCAUGGCGUGCAUUAUGCUUGAACUCCCUAAAGUAAUUAUGACUAACCGAACUUCAAGUUUGAUGUUGCCAAUCGUCCUUCAGUCACUGAGCCUAUCAAUAGUUUAUGUGCUAGUCUAUCAAUAGUUUGUAACAAGUAAUAUUCCUGUCCGCUCCUCACUACCACUCUUAUUAGUAUUAGUAUAAUUUGAAUGUUGGUCUAGAGAUAACAUGGGUACAGAAGUUUCUGUUCUCUUAGUAACUCAGUUUGGAUAUCUAAUUUAAUCGUCUUGAAAACUGUUUUUGGUUCUCCAGAUGAUUGAAAGCAGUGCUCAUGGUGACGAGUAUGACGGCGUGGUUUUCUCUCAACUCGUAAGUUGUUUUACUAUUUUUUUAGAACAUGUGAUACUGCAAUAUUCUACCUGCAUGCUUCGUCUUACUGUGUUUUCCUUCCCUUGAUCAGAACUUGAUUGAUCUUGCCGGAUCUGAGAGCUCAAAAACUGAAACAACUGGAUUGAGGAGAAAAGAAGGAUCUUACAUCAACAAGAGUCUUCUUACUCUUGGCACUGUAUGUGACUGAAAUCUUACUGCAUAUGCAUGUAUUUUGUAGUUGGCUCAACUGUAGGCAGUACAGUGCAUUGAUGGAUUAAAAAAAUGUUGUUCAUAGUUAAUUUGCUCAUCAGCCCAAAUUUACAAUUUGGAUUUUGGAGCACUAUUUUUAUUUCUCUAAUUUUUGUGGCAGUUAAAUGUGGCAAUUUCUUUUCUUGAUAUCAUGUAGUUUAUUGGUCUGUAUAGGCAACUAUAGUCGUAUUUUCUUUCUUCACGAAGUCACUGGCUUGAUGAUUGCACUGUGUAGGUAAUAGGAAAGCUGAGUGAAGGUAGGGCUUCACAUGUUCCAUAUCGAGAUUCCAAGCUCACCCGUCUUUUGCAAUCCUCGUUAAGUGGCCACGGACAUGUUUCGGUGAGUUUGAAGCACUACUAUAUAAUUUUGAAUAAUAAUCAACAACUGUACUCCUUUUCAUGCAGUUCAGUUAUUGACAUGAACUUUCGCCCAAUUUAACAUAAUACCUCCUGAAUUGUUAUCCAGCUUAUUUGUACAGUUACCCCUGCAUCUAGUAAUUUGGAGGAAACUCAUAAUACAUUAAAGUUCGCUAGCAGGGCGAAGCGUGUGGAGAUCUAUGCCUCAAGGAACAAGGUAUGUAACUUUUGCGUGUGAUUUGUGUCCAUCAGAAUUUGUGUCCAUUUUAAGGUAAAUCUAACAUAUGCUCUGUUUUUAUGAAAAUAAACCUUCAGAUCAUUGAUGAAAAGUCUCUAAUUAAGAAGUAUCAGAGAGAAAUCUCAACUCUUAAAGAGGAACUUGAUCAGUUAAGAAGUGGGAUGCUCGUUGGUGUGAGCCAUGAGGAGAUUCUGACCUUAAAACAAAAGGUAUUUAGUUCUCUAUUGGCUUAGCUUGUCAACCUUCGUCAAUCUGUGUAGCUGGUCUUCGGUCACUUUAUCAGGUCAUGAUUACAUUACAGCUAGAAGAAGGACAAGUGAAGAUGCAGUCCAGACUGGAAGAAGAGGAGGAAGCAAAGGCUGCUCUCAUGAGUAGAAUCCAGAGGUUAACCAAGCUAAUUCUCGUCUCUACAAAGAAUUCAAUCCCUGGAUUGGGUGAUGUUUCUGCUCAUCAGCGAAGUCUCUCACAUGAUGUAUGUUUUCUUCCUAAUUUUUUGUAUUAGUUUGUCUAUGGUGUCUGCUAGCAUCUGAUUUUGAAUAGUAAAUGGCAAUGGACGGACUUGAAUGCAUAAUUUCUGUUCCACCAUGAUGUCUUAUCUUUGAUAAUCCUAUGUUAGAGCAUGGCAAAUUGGUUUGACUUCACUUUUGAAAUUCAUUUCGGAAGGCGAAUGCUUAAUUUCUGGAUUAGGUAUUUGACAAUUGAUUUUAAACUACUUUUACUUUCAAUUAUGUUCAAUCACCAAUUAUUUUCUGUGCAUGGACUACGAAUAUUCAUGGUACACACUGUCUCUUAUCAUCCUCUUUAGAUUCAGGAAUAUCGGACCCGAAAUGAUCUUUUGCUUUUAUUUUGGUUUUGCCAGAAACUGGAUAUCCUGCGAGAUGGCACUUUACUUUUGGACAACGAGCAUAAAGAUUCCCCAUCUACUACUGCAAUUUCAUCAGAUCUAUCUCAUGAAUCCAGGCAUAACAGAUCCUCCAGCAAGUGGAAUGAAGAAUUUUCACCUGCCUGCAGCACGGUUACUGAUUCUGCUGGUGAAUAUAUCAAUUCUUCAAAGUUGGCAACAGUACGUGCUACUUGUUUUAUUCAAUUCAAAUGCUGUUAUUGCAGCGUUAAUGACCUACCUAAUUUAGCUGUCAUGUCCAGUGUUGCUCUGACGUUUAAUAAUCUAGCAAUUUCGCUCUUACUCUUAAGAAUCUAGCAAUUAAACUCCCUUGAAAACCCUGUACUAUGUACAAGCUGCUUAUUUUUGGAACCGUUUGUGAAACUAUCCUAUUGCAGAGUGGACUCUCUCAAGAUCAGAUGGAUCUUCUAGUGGAGCAGGUCAAGAUGCUUGCUGAAGAGAUUGCAUUCAGCUCAAGUUCCCUGAAGCGUCUAGUCGAGCAAUCUGUCAAUGAUCCCGAUAGCUCGAAAACUCAGGUAUGACUAUCAUGAUGAUUACCUUGGUAUUAAUAUAUAUUUAAUUUCAUUAGUUACGCAAAGAGAACACUACUGUGUUAUUGUUGAUGAAACUUUCUUAUACUGUUCUGUUUUUGUCUUGAGGGUACAUAUCUUCUUUUCCACCAUUAUGAGUUUGUGUUUCCAAUUAUUGUGUAGUCUAUAUGUUUCUGCGUGAACAUAUAAAUGGCUGAUAUGUUGUUAUCUGUGGUUGGUGUUUUUGAGCUCAAAGUUAACUGCAUUGCAGUGCAGAUAUGGAAGUACAUAUCAAGGCUCUCUGAUUCUGUCUUACAUUUUAUUGUGGACCUUCUAGUUCAUUAGACUUUUGUACUAUGCUAGCACAUUUGCUUGGAGCUAAAUUGCCUAGAUUUUGAUGAUAGUUUGAAUGUUUAAUCCUAUUGUCUAAAUGACAGAUCCAGAACUUGGAACGUGACAUUGAGGAAAAGAGAAAGCAAAUGAGAGCUCUAGAACAACACAUUAUUGAAAGCGGUGAGGCUUCAAUUGCCAAUGGAUCAUUAGCUGAUAUGCAGCAGGUAGUUUUUCCUUCUUCCUCAUUGAUGGAUUUUGUUUAUUUCGUUACACUACUUAUAAACAAUAUAUAUUAAUUUGGUUAUCUUAAUUACUUUUGCUGCUGCAGAAAGUCAUGCGAUUGAUGACUCAGUGUAAUGAAAAAGCUUUUGAGCUUGAGGUGAGAACUUGGUCUUAAAUCUAUAGUUCGCUAAGCACAUUAGCUUGCAUUUAGUUUAAUCUUGAACUGGUGUCACGCUAUCGUUCAUCUUCAUUGCGUAAACCGCUCUGUUUGGUUCGUAAAAUGUUUUCUUGCUCCUACUUUAAGAUGAUAUAUGGAUUUCCAAUAAUUCUCUUAUGCUUAAAUCUUAAAACUUCAGAUGUAUUAUGAUUACCUCACUUUCAUCUUACUUGGUAGUGAUUUCACUAACUGCUGCAAAAUUUUGUCGACCAAUGCAGAUAAAAUCAGCUGACAACCGCAUACUCCAGGAGCAAUUGCAGAAAAAGGUGAUUUCCAUCGUUGGUCCUGUCUGUGACUCAUCUUAUAUGAUCCUUACAAGUUUUUUUUACUUGUCUGAAUUGGCUAUGAUAGAAAGUCCACCUUCGGCCAUGUCUAAUCCAUUUUUAUGAUCCUUAAGGUUUAAUUUACUCAUUAGGAUCGGUUAUGAAUUAUGAUCUAAUGUUUUAGUAGCCAAUGAUUCCAAGUUGCCAUAUUUCGUUUUCUGAGUGCUAAGAUUCGUCGAUAUUCGUAAUCGUUUGUCUGCAGUGUUUGGAGAACAAGGAGUUAGAAGAUAAGGUGAAUCUUCUUGAGCUUCGUUUGGCCUCACCAUCAGGCGACAAGUCAUCGUUAACAUCUGAGCAACCCAUCCCUGAAGAAUAUGUUGAUGAACUGAGGAAGAAAAUUCAAUCACAGGUAAAAGCUCAAAUCACAAUUCAUAAUCAGAAUUUACUGCUAUUCUGCUAAAGUGUGACGAUUACUCGAUCAGGAUGCGGUUUAUUGAAAGUCUAAUGAUAGUUUCUUAUGUUCAUACUUCUUGAUUUGAGCAGGAGAUUGCAAAUGAAAAGCUGAAGAUACAACAGGUUCAGCUUUCAGAGGAGAACAGUGGGCUACACGUACAGAAACAGAAACUAGCUGAAGAAGCUUCUUACGCGAAGGAACUGGCAUCUGCUGCAGCAGUCGAGCUAAAAAAUCUAGCUGGUGAAAUUACUAAGCUAUCCUUGCACAACUCGAAAUUAGAAAAAGAACUGCUAGCUGCUCGCGAGUCUCUGCAGUAUAGAGGUUCCGUUCCACAAAAUGGUAGCAACCGUAGAUAUAACGAUGGAUCGAGAUCAGGGAGGAAAGGGCGAUUAUCUGGCCGGGUAAACGAGAUGGCGCUACACCCAGACGAGUUCGAUGCAUGGGAUCUUGAUCCCAAUGACAUGAAGAUGGAAUUGCAGGCAAGGAAACAGCGAGAGGCAGCCCUCGAGGCUGCCUUGGCCGAGAGGGAACUCAUAGAAGAUGAGUACAGGAAAAAAGCAGAAGAAGCAAAGCGUAGGGAAGAGUCUCUUGAAAAUGACUUGGCAAACAUGUGGGUACUUGUUGCUAAGUUGAAGAAGGAAGGAGGAAAUAUCCCCGAGUUUAUCACCGAUGAGAGGCCGAAUGACGUUAGAUCUAACCACACGAAUGAGCCAGAAUCGAAUGGGUCUGAUCAUGAAAUUGCGUCUAAAGAAAGACAAGUUACUGAUUGUCCAAAGCCUGCAGUUGAAGUUCCAAAGGAAGAGCCGUUGGUUGUUCGUUUGAAGGUAUGAAUACAACCAACGAAAAUACUAACAUUGCUUUUUCACCGAUUCACUUCCUCUUAUUUUUUUAUCAACCACUGUUUCUCAAAUUCAGGCACGGAUGCAAGAGAUGAAGGAAAAGGAACUGAAACACUCAGGAAAUGGAGAUGCCAAUUCGCACAUCUGUAAAGUAUGUUUCGAAUCAGCAACCGCAGCCAUUCUUCUUCCAUGCCGACAUUUUUGCUGUAAGCAUCACCUUUCAACCUUCUGUUUCACAAAACUAUAUAUACAUAAUACACUUCAACUUAUCUAUUGCAUGAAACAUAAUAUGUAACCUUGCGGUAAAUUUUUCCGCAGUGUGUAAAUCGUGUUCUCUUGCUUGUACCGAGUGCCCUAUCUGCCGAACCAAGAUAGCAGAUAGGCUUUUCGCAUUCACUUCGUGACAUUCAUAAACAAAAAGGUAAGCCAUUAUCUGCUCAUUUUCCAUCCAUCUAUCCGUUUCCAACCUCUAUUUGAGCCCUCAUUUCUCCAGUGUCUUGCAACAGGGUUUUUUGUCACCGCCAUUUAUUCCACUCGCAACACGAAAUAGCGGGCUGGCAGGUUACGGAUUCUUUCAUUACUUCUUUGCUGUAUAUGUCUUCUAUCGGAUUCUAUCUACAAUAGUUUGGGCUUCUUUAAGAUGUGUAAAAAACAAUGCAAGAUAUGGCGGUGGUCAUCAUUUGCUGGGUUCUUUUUGUGUGUGUAUAUAUGAAAACAGUCAGUUUAUAUCUUCGUUUAGCGAUAAGCAUGUGUGUUAGAGAGAAUGUGAUGGUGUUGAACUGUGUCGUUGGUUGGGUAAGCAGCCGUUAGCUUUCGAUUACUGUCCACCCAGCAAAUCCCACACGAUCCACUGCUAGAUUGUUUUUUUAGCUAUACACGUAGUGGUCCUCCUGACAAGAGUUAGGCUUGUGAUUUUGAAAUCUUCCAAUUGGAUCGUUUGAAAUCUAGUACGGAGUUCUGAAUGAUACUGCAUAGUUGAGAUACUGCCGCCGAGUGUUUGGAUGAUGGGCAAAUGAACAGGUAUGGAGAUGAGAAGUUUCUCUGGAGUUCUUUUUUCUUUUUUGGAGUUUCUCUGGAGUUCGUAGUAUGGGUUUUUAGCUGUAAAAGAGUGGUCCAAUGCUUUUACGUUGCUAUGUGCGUUUUUGGCUCUAUUGUACUUUUGUCUUUUUGUCACUGCAACUAUCAUAUCCACGAGGAAACCUCGUCUACACAUUUUCAAGGGGAGAAUUAAAGGUCGAAUGGACGAAGAGUUUGUAUGUUAAAAGUGCCGAAAGUAUAGUGGGUCGACUGUUGAAAUGAUGAUUUUAUAUAUCUCAUAUAAAGAAAACAUCACCAAACAUGAUUUUACAGUCAGAGCUGCACUUGAAAGGACAGUUCAUCGAAACUGAAACUUGGGCAAAGGGAAAAAGAGUUGGUAAACAAGAGUUACAGUCCCCAAAUGGAACUUGCAUCCUCCUCUCAAUCCUCAUCCCACCACGGCCUUCAGGUCUUGUGUAAAAAAAAGAACCACUAACUCCCCACUAGGCAGUAGCUAGUAGGAAGUAAAAAUGUAAAAGAAAACACAAGGAGAGGCUCGUAGUUAGUUUUACUUUUUUACUUCUCGAUCACUUCUCAGUUUCUAACUCCGUCACUCACAAAAAACGGGGAAAAAAUAGAAGCGAACGGAGGGAGCCGGGUCACACAUCACAUAUAAGGCGUCGUCCAGAAGUCACCACUGUACUUCCCAGCAGCCGGUUCAAGGAAGUCGUCCACCCGCCAACCCGGAAGAGUAUCCAAGUACUCGGAGAUGUUGGACCCAGUGGUGUCGCCGCUGUAGCUGACGUGGGCGCUCUCGUCCACGCUGUAGGACCCCGGAGAACCCCCCUGGUCCCACUGUACGCGCCUUUUAUUAGAAUAAGUCACAGCUGGCUGCUGCGGCGGCGCCUGUGACGGUGUGGAACUGCUCCUACAACAGCUGCUGCCAGCUGUGUUGGAAGUAGUAUUAAUCUUGGCGGUGGUUGUUGGGUCGUAGUGAGCGGAAAAGGCGGAGAGCUUGACGCCGGUGAGGAGAAAGCGGCUGUGACGCUGUGUGUGUUCGUUGGCAGAGUGUAUUGGGAUGUCGCAUUCUCUGCAGAGGAUGGCUCUGUCUUCGUGGCAGAAGAGGAAUGCUCUCUUCUCCUGUAAAAAAUAAAAAUUCAACCAAUUAAGAUCGGACCCCAUGUUCACAAAUUGUUGGAAUAAAUUCAUAACUAGAUUAUAUAACCAAAUUCGUACCUGGCAGAUAUCGCAGAGGGGUGCAUCUUGGAAGGAAGGGUGAAGCAGAGAAAAGCGGUGGUGUUUCCCGGCGAGUUUAUUGGCAUGGUGAACUCUGCGGUCACAACUUGCACACAGAGCAGCCUCGUCGGCGGUGCAGUAGACGGUGGCCUCCGAUCCGUCACAAACAUCGCACCUGAUCUUCAUCCCAGUACCUUAUAAUCGAUAUGGUAGUACCAAUAAAGCAGAGCUGAUAAGACUGAUAGACCACAAGAGUAGUAAUGGGUGAAGAACUACUUAUGGUGAAGUGAAAGGGAUAGUGACAAAAGAUAAUUGACAAUAAGUAAGAGGGUUGAUCCGUAAUUGUUCGGGCGGUAGAAUUGUGUCGGAGAUUUGAAGGCGUUUUUGAGUUUGAAUUCAAUGUAGUUUUUUUUUAUCUUGAUAUCUUUAUCUCAUAUAUCUUCGAUAAAAUAGAAAAGAAUUUAUUUUUGCUAUAUAUCAUGCUUAAAAUUAAUUAUUAAUUUUUAGGUUUUUGUUUAGUUUUUAAAGGUUUGGACAUAGUGAUAAGUGUUUAGAGUAUAAUUAAACUAUUUUAUGAUUGGUUAAUUUAGAUUUAUGGUCCAAUGUCAUAGUUUGGAGUACGAUUAAAAUUUUGGUUUUCCGAUUCAAUAUUUGAGGGUUAGAAUUUAGUGUUUAGAGGUUUAACAUCAUUCUCUAAUGUUUAGGAUUUACGAUAAGGAUUUUAGGAUUUAGUUUUUGAAUUUUAAAUCUUAAAAAUAUAAGAUUUUUAGUAUAGAAGGUACCGGUAUCUCUAGGAUACGGAAACGCUCAUAACAUAUUCAUGGCCCGACUUUGAAUUUUUCUGGUUGAUAUGAUUCGGUGUCAUUUUUUUACUUACGAUUCAAUCACAGUUUUAACUAUUUAUUAUGCUACCACGUAAUUUUUUUUGCAACAGUGGGUGUGUUAUUGGCAUGCAGUGGCGGAUUCGGGAGGGUUUUCCCGGUCCCGGCUCAGUGUGUUUUUUAAUAUUGAAGUUCAAUAUUAUGUAAUUUUCCGUGAUAUUUUUAAUUUAAUGGAAUGUUUUUAUAUACGGCUCAGUAUAUUUAAAUUUUUAUAUAAUUUGAUACAUUUGUCCAUAUUCCAAUUCUUAAUUAAUUAAAAUGGAAAAUGAAAAUGGAAGAAAAAGAAUUCGAAUAUCGACAAAUGAAUUCUUUUAGUUCCCACUCUUCUAUGGGUAUGAUAUGCCUGCCUGAGCCUGACCAUAUAUGUGUAUANNNNNNNNNNNNNNNNNNNNNNNNNNNNNNNNNNNNNNNNNNNNNNNNNNNNNNNNNNNNNNNNNNNNNNNNNNNNNNNNNNNNNNNNNNNNNNNNNNNNNNNNNNNNNNNNNNNNNNNNNNNNNNNNNNNNUUAUGGGUGAAUAACCGGCCGAUCAUAAAAUUUAUUUUAUUUUCACUAGACAAUGAUCGAACUCUCGAUUUCAGAACAAAAUGACCGACGACUAAUAUGACUUUACUAAGAACUAAACUAAGCCCGCUUGAGCAAUUAUCGCUAUAGUUUUUUUUUUCUGGUUAGAUUCCUAUGGAAAAGCCAGAAAAUAUAAAGAGGGGAUGGGCGAUAUGAGUGCAAGUUGCAGCUCAUUCAUUACUCUCAAUGCGACCUGUUUAUGUCCUUUUUUUCAUAAUUAAUUUAAUGCAUUGGUUGGGUAGGUGAUUUUAACGGGUGAUUUAGAUUUUUGAAAAAAAUUUGUUUUAAAUUACUCGUUUGGAACAUAAAAAGGGGAAGAGAUUUGCGGAGAUUUGAAAUCACCUUGUGGCCCUAGAGAAAAUUUCGAGGGUGAGGGUGGAGAUUUCGGAAGAGAGAGGGGAGAUUUGAGAAUUUUAAUUAAAAUUAUCGCUUCUUUUUUUUGUAAUUGAUAUGACCGUACAUAAAUUGGACGCAUUUUAUUUUUGUUGUUGUUUAUUUUUCUCUCUCUAUAAUAAUUACAUUCAAACUCACCCAAAAUAAAUCACCCAUUCAAACGGUAUAUUUAAAACAUAACAACCUUUAUUCAAAUCUUUUAUAUUUCAAAACACCUACCCAACGAUCCAUAAAACUUUUCCUCCCAAACUCUAUUUUGUUUUUUCCCCACAAUAUAAUUUUGAUUUAUUAUAUGUUAAUUUGUAAGUAACGUUGUAUGGGUGUAGCAGAUUAUUGAUGGACAUGUCACACCUCAAUACAAACAAAACACGACCAAAGUCCAACAUCUAAGUCUUGUGUGAGAGUUAAUUUGGGAUAUUUAGAUAUUUAGCCAAGAUCUGGCCUGACAAUGAGUACUGCACAAGAGCAACUGGUCACUGAUUUUGAAGAAUUCGUUACUCUGAUGAAGAUGGAUAGACUUAAUUUUAUGCAUUUCCGAUAGUUUCGUGCUAGCUACGUAUUAGCAUGCAGUCUAGUCUCGGUCCUCUACCCUUCCAUCUACACAAUGGUAUAAUAAUGAUAAGGCAAAACCUACUAGACGUUCAGAUCACCAGACUCUAGACGUAGACUACUACAAACUAUAGGUGAUUUGAGGGCAAAGCCUCUACGCCAACCCUGCAGACCCCGACGCUAACCGAAAUAAAACAAUGUUCAAAACAUAAAACAAUAAAGAACAAGGACUAGAAUUUCUGGACGUGCUUGCUAAUCUUCCCCGAGGUGGAGGUGUUGCCGGAGCGAGAAGCUACUCCGCAAGUAACGGACUAUGUCGAUGGGCGGGACACACUAGUUAACUUGUAUAUUACAGAGACCAUCUUUCUUCGACGACUUGAAGGGUUUCAGACCUUAAUGCUCCGCCACAUUACCAUCCUUGUAUGAGACCUCUUCACGAUGCCGUUUCGGUCGGCCGUUACAUCCAAGUCCAUUGGUUUCAUAUGGGCUAUAAUAUAAAUGGGAAUGUAAGUAAAACUUUAAUGCAUGAUUGGGAAACCCUAGAAGAAAAGAAGAAGAAGAAGAAGAAGAAGAAGAAAGAAGAAGGUGAGUAGUAAGUCUAAGACACGAUGAUGAUUAUGAUAGAGAGAUGUGGACAACUAGAUUCUCCCCCCACCAAUUGAAGAGAUUUCGACAAAUAACACUUUUCCAUUUACUUUUUUGGACCCAUCAUCCACCACCCUUGCAACUUGUCCACUACCAUUUAGGGAUAAUUUUGUCAUUUUAAGAAAAUUUGAAAUCUAAAUUCGAAAUCCAAAAUUCAAAAUCCAAUACUCUAGACCUUAAACCAAAAAAUAUAAAAUAUAAAAUCGAAACUUAAAAAAUGAGAAAUGACAAAUUUACCCCUAAUUUAAGUUAGACUUUUUGUUCGUCAGAUCUAAUGUACGAAAUAAACAAUCCAGAUUGUUCCUUGUCCCAACAAAUAGACCUCCUCUAUUUACCGCCGACCCAAAAUCCCAUAGAUGCACCCUCCACCCCCAAAUCUAAAAUCAAACAAUUAAUUACCACAUUAAUCUAAAAUCAAACAAUUAAUUACCACAUUAAUUAGAUCAUAAUUAAUGUUGGUGAAAUGACUGACAAGAUUUCAUAUGUCUAUAUAUAAUCGGUUAAUAUAUAGCGGAAAUUUGGUGCAUUAGUGUAUAUGGUAUAUUCAACAUUAAAAAAAUUUAUUCAAAAAUUUAAAACCGAAAUAAUAAAUCCUAAACACCUCACACGCAACCCUAAACCUUAAAAGAUAAUGUUAAACCCUAAACGCUAUUAUAACCCUCAAAUAUUAGAUCAUAAAACCAAAUCCUUAUUCAUACUUCAAACUCUGACUUUUGACCAUAAAUUUAAAUUAACCAAUCAUAAAGCUCCUAAUUAUACUCUAAACACUUACCAAUAUGUCUUAAUAAACACCAAACAAGAACCUCAAAACUCUUAAUUUCAACAUAAUAUAUAGUAAAAAUAUGAUAGAAUGUACCGUGUACGAACCAAACAAAAACCGACCUAGGUGGGGGCCACAUUCGCAUAAACAAUGGUAAGAGUCCAACCCUAUAUAAUAAUAUAUACACAGAGGAACAAUUGAAAAGUAGAGGGGAGUUAAGAAUUGUGGUUUAAUGACAACAGUGGUAAGGAGAUAAGAAACGAACAAUUCACUUUUUGAAUAAUAGCAUGUAUGUACGUGUGAUGUUUCAUUCAAUGGCUUUUGGAAUUUCAAAACAAUGACGAAUGAGGGAAGUGCCAUUUGCCUAAAACUUUCGAAAUCUCGUCAAAAUUUUAUUAAUGUUAUGUCGAAAGGCACGAUACUUGAACGACACUAAUAAAUAACAUUAGUCGCGAAGUGCAUACCCCACCGAAAAAUGUACGAAACAAGGAUCGUUUUGGUCAAACGAUACCUCCAAGAAAACAAGUCGCAGAAAAUAAAUCCCGGAGUGGUAGCAAAAUAGAAAGAAGUGUGGACAUGGAAUCCCUUAAUUUUAGGGGCUAAGGCGGCUCUGAAAACUUUGGCAAAAGCACAUCUUUGGCCUUAAGUGGGGUUGUUGAAUUCGAGACGUUGUCGUAUUUAAUAAAAUAUAAAGCCUAUAUAAUAUGCUUUUAUUUUUUAUUACAAACUGUCAACUUUCAUUCAUAGCAAAUUACAUUACUAUCAAAUUGUGUUAUUGGAGGUGCAGAUCCUACUAAUAAGGCUAUACGAAAUGUGGGUUUUUACGAAUAAAUGACCUCACAUCUUUCUCUUCAACAUUAAGAUCAACCAACAAUAAAUAAAAAUAAUCAAAACAAAUAACGAGACAGUCUAAAAAGUAACAAAACCAAUAAGGACUACUGAAAUGACCUAGUAAGCACGUUGCAUGUGACCUUGUUGAUAUCUUGAAAGAGGUUAGGAUCUCAGGUACCCCAGCUGUGAAUUAGAAAGGCAGACCAAGCGCUUUAAACGCUUCAUUGGAAGUUACAACAGAUGCAAUUCUCCCUUCCUUGCGUGGUGAUUCUUCUUGGUGUGGAGAGAUCCGACAAUACAAAGCUCGUACACUGAGCUCGGCGGGGGAUCAAUUAGAGUUGAGGGGGAGAGUACGACCCGUUCAGGAACAAGGACCGUCGGCUCAUUCUGAUUGUCUGCUGUCACCUGCAGCCGGAUUCACUUUCCUCCUCCUCCAUUCCUGGAGCCGACUCGAGACCGAUGGUGAUGAGAGUGAUCGCUGGGGAUGCGGCCUGCGGUACGAGGCUGUUGGCCAAUUGUGUUUGGUGGCUGCAGCGAUGUUUGGAGGCUGUGAGAGCAGCGAUGGUGGUAGUGAUGGUGUCGAGGAGGUGGCGAAAAGGAUGAGUGUGACUUGGGUGGAGGAUUCACGAUUACGAUAAAAAAGGGAAGUCAUUAACGGUUGCAUCAAAAUCUCCUUUCCGUUAAAAGCUUUUUGAGACAUCUAAAUUUUUUAUAACGCUCCUAUAUAAUAUACUUUAUAAGUAUAUUAAGUAUACGAAAGCAUAUAUAAUAUACUUUAUAUUUAAAUAAUAUGUGACAGCCCAAUAUAAUGAAUAACGAUUAUACAAUAAAUAAUUAAGAAAUGAGGAGGAAGAUCGUAAUGAUUUUGUUGGUAUGUAUUUCCAGAAGCACCAAAAGAAUGUAGGUUGUCCCCAAGAGAGCAUUAGAACCAUGUGACUUGUCUUCCUAAUUCAUCAACUUUUUAUUUUUCGCAGUGGAUAUAGAAAUGAUGUAAAAACAGUGACAACUCACAUUUAUGUUCGAUAUAAUAAUUUAGCUAUAUCGUUGGAGAGAUCUGUCAACUAUUCAAAUUUUUAUUAAAAAUUCAACUCUAAAUUGUUCAAUAAGAAACGAAGCUAAAUAAAUAUUNNNNNNNNNNNNNNNNNNNNNNNNNNNNNNNNNNNNNNNNNNNNNNNNNNNNNNNNNNNNNNNNNNNNGAACGAUUUUUUAAACUAAAUGAAUAAUGAUAGUUGGAUAAUAUGUUCGUGAUAUAUUAAAUAAGAUUUGUGUGUUAGUAUAUAUAAAAAAUGUGUUUUAAAUUUUUUUCAAAAUAUAAAAUAUAAUCGUUAAUUGUUAUAUAUAGUGCGUGAUUAAUUAUUCAAUUUUAAGAAUUAUGUUUUUUCACUUCUAGUUCCAUUUAAAAUUAAAUUUUCUAUAAUGUACGUGAUUGAUUAUUUUAGGAUAUAAAUUCAGGACUCGUUUGGUCAAUUUCCUGACUUCGCCUUUGUGUUAAGCGGUGAGAUAACAUAACCGCCCAUUAUACAGUACGCAAAACUCUUAAAUAUCUCCCGAAAAUAUUGCCUCUAAUCUAUCUCGAAAUUGAACUAUUUCAGAAAAAAACUUUAUAUAUUCACCAUAAUUCACAUUUUCUAUCUUCAACCGGUUUUAUAAUGUGGGCUCUCCUGGGCCGAUGAGCCUGCUAGCUUGGCCGCCGCCUCGACGUUAGUUUCAAACAGUUUGACUAUCGGCCUCAUCAGCAGUCACGUAAAAGCCCAGUAAGUCAGAUCGCCAGGCCCAACUCGAUAAGACUUUCCUUUCUUUUCCUCCCUUUUUUUCCGUCGGUACAAGCAUUAUCGGCCGUAAAGCCAGUUUGAACGGUCAUCUCCUGCUUCUGUUGAAGCCACUGUCCACUCCCGCGCUUCCGAUGGCUGUUCCUCCUCCUACGCUAGUUUCCGGCGCCGCCGCAACGUUGCUACAGUCACCGCCUCUUCUCUCAUGUUCCUGUUAUUCCGGUCAUCAUUUCUUGGUAAUUCCUCUGUUCUAGUUUGGAGAAGCCAAUCCUAACAUUCGUAGCUCGUAUAGUAUGUGUUUGGCUGAAGGAGCGCUUCGAUCAGGUGUCGAAACAAUUAGAAACUUGGAUUUUUUUUACGUUACCGCCAUUUGAAUUGCGAGGCAGUAUGGACAUUUGCUGUUGCAAUCAGUAAUCCAGCUAGGAAAUGAAAGUGCUGCCGUUUUCUGAUUGCAGGCAUCUAGCUCCAUGAGAACGAUCCAAACAUGGAGAAUUAAGGCUUUCACUGUGCCGAGAAUGAAGUUCGUUUUCCCCACCACCACGCCAGUACAAUCUAAGAGAAGGUACUCGUAUCAGUAUGAUGAUGUUUGGUUCUCAGAGAUGCAUUUUGUUUCAUUGAUCACGUUGGUGCAAUUUGUUUAAGAUAUUCUUUACCAAGAUGUCAUGUGAGAUUAAGAACGAGGAUAGUGGAUUCUGACAUCUUAAUUCAAUUCAUAGGAUGUGGAUUGCAGUUUUCUCUGUGGUCUUAUUGCUUGACAAGAAGGCUUAGAACUGUGAUCUUCAAAGCAAAGUAGUUGAACCGGACGUUGGUACGUUCUGCACUAUCAAGUAUAGGAAAGAGGGGAAAGGUUUAACUUCAAUUAUGACGAGUGCGUAGCAUGAUGUUGGCUGUUUGUUUGUGAAUUUAGUUUUUCUGGAUCCGUUGUUUACCUAUUUUUUUUGAGUUGGGAACUUAACUUGAAGCCAGCAUCUUCCUGUGAUUUAUGAAGUUUUGCUGUACAGUGCGCCUUCCUUCUGAUCAAGUGAUUUCAAUGACUCAACUUAAAACAGGAGAACUUUGAUAUGUGCAGUCGAUCAAAAUGCAGAAGCAGAAUUCAAAAAGACAGUUGGACUGGAUUUUCUGAUAGAAACACUGAGGGUAGCAAAUCCAGCAGAAGUAAGCAGUGAUGUUCACUUUUCUUGCUUAAUCUCAUUCCAUCUUGAGAUUCCUAACUUAUAUUUCAUGCAUUUCCGUCUUAUCUAUCAACAGCUUCCCAAGAUUGUUGCUGAUAACAUCCUUGCUUUCGAUACGGGUUUCUGGAUUCGACUUGCUGCAAGAGCAGAUACAUGCAAAUCAGAAGAUGAUAAAGCACGACCUCCGACUUGGUUAAUUAUCCUGUUUCAUGGCAUUUCAGAGUGUGACAUCAUUUGUAAAAAAGUAUGCCCGAAUAUCAUAUUUUGUUUGCAUUACUGCAGAAAGAUUACGAGGAACUGGCGACAACUUUAAUGGGCAUGGUUGAUCGUUUCGUCCAUAAAACCAAUGUACACUGCUCUUCCUUGUGCUCAUACAAACAUCUCUACGAAGCAGACUUAUUUGGUUGAUUCUUUCCUAUUGUAAUAAUUGUCAUCUCAUUGCUUACUGUAGGAAACGAUCGAUUCAUCUACAGAUGUUCUCAAGGAUAUAUUGAAACCAGUGGUUGAUCCAGAGGAAGAGGUAACAUGGCCACCAAAAGACCCCCAAGCCCUUGAGCUUAUGAAGAAAGUAUGUAUUCGCAACUGUUUAAUUAAUGCUUUUUUUGUUCUUUCUCUCUUCACGCUCAGAUGUCAUAACUCAGGAUUAGGAUUAUUAUAGUUUCGCUUUUGGUACUCCAUAUAUUUGAAGAUGUCUGACAAUUACAAUCUGUAUUAAACAAUGGUACAUUGGUGUUGUUCCUUCAUAAUGCCGCAGGUGGUAAUCCAAAGAGAGCAAGAGGGAGAACUAAAUGAAGGGUUCCUUUCUGAAGUCAAUGCACAGCUCAGAAAUGUGAGUGGUCUAUUGACAUAACAGUUAACACCCUCCCUAAAUUACUUAUUUGCUGUUGUGGUGUGGAGCUUUGUGCCAAUUAUCUCGAAAAAGCCUUUGGCUAAGUAGAUAUUCUGGAAGUAGUAGAGCGAAAUAGCAGUUGUCAAGGUUCAGCAUAACGAACUUGCAUAUGGCAGUCCAUCAAACGAUUAUUGUUUCUUCUCAAACAUAAACUAGCUUCCUGUAUGGGCGUGUCAACAGGCCGAAGAAGAUGCCGAAAAGCCAGGGCUCGUGGUUAUGCUGCAAAAGGUCCUACAAUACUAUGCAUCUGCAUCUCUUUCCAGACGUAGCUAUGCCAAGAAAGGUAAUGAUCUGCUUUCAGUCUAUCUGAAGCCAUAUUUGAAUCCAGAUAUCACUAAACUCGGAACCAUCUUCGUAACUAUAGUAACAGUCUUUUCAAAUCAUCUUUUGUCAAUGUACAGGAAACAAGAUUUUGAAGGACGAGCAGUUCCUUGAGACCAUAAUCAAAGGUUUCCCCACAUCACUCUUUUUUCGAGGAAAAUGUUUCUUCCCCUUGAACGCAUACCUACAUGUAUCAAUGGUUUGGUCCAUGCAGCUCCCGAGGAAGAGUGGAACAGGCUGUUAAUCGAUGGAUUGACGGUUGCGAAAGGUGAAAUCACACCCGAGGAACUCUAUGCGGUCAUCAAGAAACGAGUUGAACGGGUGAUGAUUCGAACGGUACGAUGCUUUUUUAAACACGCAUCUGUAACUUCCCUACAAGCUUUCUCUGUGUUUUCCGUUCUCAAAGGUGUAGUCAAAUUAUCAGGAAGGAGGGUCGUACCAGCAGCGGAUUCUGGGCGAGUAUCUAAAGAACAUCCAAUCUCGAGCUGAGGAGAUUGUCAAAGUUCUUCAAGGUCAGACGUAAAUGUUUUAUGUACAGAACUGAAGAACUCGAACAAGAUCGAGGACUACUAAAUUCGAAUCCAGAAGCAAAACAUUCACUUUGCUUCAAGUGUAAGUUCUGGAGCACGAACAUGAGACCAGACCGUACGGAAGCAUUACUAAGCAUGUUACCUUUGGACUUUGGUGUUGCAAAGACAAGCAUCGAUGCACUAAAAAAUCCGAGACAAUUCAAGGAAAUUAGGUUCACCGUGACCGAAGUAAUGAGAGAUAUUUCACCAAACACUUGGGCGUGCCAUACGAAGGGAAAUAGACGAACAAACAAGAACAGCCAUGUCCACCGCUUCCAAAAAUAUGGCGAAGCUAUCAGACAAAUUAACGAAGCAGAGAAGCAACGAUCGAGAAUGAUUCACACGUCAUCAUCAUAAUCUGUACAAAAACGAGGAAGAUUCAUUCAUCCAUUUUUAACUACAUGGUUUUCAUCCUCGUUUCAGGGAACCAGAUCAAUCAAACCGAGAAUUAACCAAUUACCAUCCCAUAAAUUGUACAUUUUCCCCCAAAUCCCCAACAUAGAACCCUAAAUUGACAUCGAUCGCGCCCAGAUUGGAAGCUGAUUAUGCCUUGUGCUUCCCGUAGAGGCAUCCACGCUUGACGUAGCGAUACGGAUCGCGCUUGGAGUUGCUCAUCUUCGCACAGGCUCUCUUCCCCAGUUUCCUCAUCCUUCGACUGUCAAGCCUCCCGUGAACCAGCUCGUCUUCUCGUCCGUACUCGUCCACCUCCUCAUCUUCCUCCUCUUCCAGAUCAUCUUCAUAUUCCUGUCUCUUCUUCCCGUACAAUCCGCUGUAAUGAUCAGCGUACGAAGUAUAGUCACUCACCACGAUCUGCCGAUGGAAGACGGCACGAUCCGCGACGUCGACGACCACUGCCUCCUCUUUCUCUGAUCCGUCUCGAGAUUCUUUAACAUCUUCGUCUUUGACGUCGUCGUGGACCGCUUCCUCCACGGCUGUUGUCAGCAAGAAAGCCUCAGACAAGGCCGGCAGAGAUACGAAUCCGUUCUCGACGCUGAGAACCGACUCGGUGUCGGAGGAAUCGGCGUCGGAAGCGUUGAUGAACUCCCAGUACGACGACAAGUCAGCACUUUGUCCGUGGACCGCAUCUUGGACGAGGAUCGUCGGUUCUUCACCUGCGGUGACGGCGGCUGACGAAGAGGAGAAGACGGACUGGAGGAAGGCGAAGGAUUUGGCCAUUUUCUUGGAUGAUCGGAGAAGAUUCUCUGGUUAGUCUUGUUUUUUUUUUGUACGGUGAAAGUUUUUUUGGGAGGUGGAGUGAGUUAUGAGCACCGAGCACGUACUUUCCCCUCUUUACUCUUCUGCUGUGGCGUGGGAUAAUGGAGGGUAUCAAAUUCACGGAUGCUUUUCUACUGGCACACGUCAAAUAGCCAAUUAUAUUACGACACGUGGAGUUCCUGACUUCCUGGGCAAGUUCUCUCGCCCACAUGGGCAUUUUACUUUCUUUUUUUCAGGUUGUAAGUUUGGUGGGUUACAAUUGGGCCUGGAUUGCUAUCGUAUAAUCCAAUUACUAUUGGGCCGGGACCGAAUAGUCGGGUAAAUUCCAUGAUUCCAUCACGAUUUUAAAUCAUAAGCCAUAAUUUAAUAGGAGACUGAAAACAAGUUUUAAUAAAUCAGAAUUUAGGUUUAUAAGUGGAUAUAUGAUUUUUUUAACGUCAUAAGAAGAUAGCAAAAAAAAAAAAACUUAAUCAACCUACUGAGUGAGAACUGUCGACAAUAUUUUAGGAAAGAUAAUCGAUAGGAUGACGAUCCCUGGUUAGUUGGUAUGAAUUUUAGACAAAGGUAAUUGUAUUGGUUUGUUGUAAUGUUCUUUCCAAUUGCUUUCUCAAACAAAAACAAUUAGAGUAUUAGUUGAGCAUAUAACUUUGAUCACUAUUAAAUUAUAGAACAUACUUCUUUUUUCAUACAUGUAAAGUGGAAGGACCCUUCCUGUCCCCUGGGAAAGCAGAUGACAAGGAUAAAAAAGUAAAGUUUUAAAAAUUGGACCGUAAAUCAAACCAGUAAAGCCGAAAUUCACCUCACUUUAGUCAUUGCUAAAAUUCGUAAAUAGAAUGCCCUAAAUACUAGUUUUUGUGUGGGCUCAAAAGGUAAUAAAGCAGUGGAACCACCGCCAACUAUUAUAAAGAAAGAUAAGUACUUACUAUAUGCACAGUGAAGCAGCCAUAUAUAUAUAAUAACUGCAUAACUACAGUAGUGAACAAACCAGCUAGCUAUAGAGAUAAUAUUAUAUCAUAUAGAAAGCUAGGCAUGAUGAACGGCGGAGGAGGAGAGACGUCGGCGGGGAGUCUGAGAGGAGGAGGGGCGGUGGCGGGGAGGAGGUGUGAAGACUGUGGGAAUCAGGCAAAGAGGGAGUGUAGAUAUUGGAGGUGCAGGAGAUGCUGCAGAAGGAGAAAGUUGGAGUGCCAAACCCACGUUUCCAGCACUUGGGUUCCCACUUCCUUAAGGCGCCUACAGCAAGCUGCUGCUAGGGGAAGUUCAACUACUCAUCCUUCCACCUCCCACCAACAACACCAUGUUCUUCUUCACCACCAUCACCAUAUUCCCUCAGGUAUAUAUACAACUAAUUUAAUUGAUGAUGUAAACUCAAAGUUGAAAUUACCCUGAGCCAUAGCUCUCUCGGGCUCCCCCUAUGUCCUCCCCUGCGGAAAGAAAUUGUAGUCUAUAAUAGUCAUGUAACUACACAAGCGGAAGUAUCUCGGUUGGUAAAGUUGUGUGUUACCAAUUUAACUUUGAGGGUAACGUUUAUGUAUAUUUUCUUCUUUCUGUUCCUAUAUGUCAAGGGAAAAAAAUCGUAUAACCGUACAUGUUCGAUGUCACACGUUCAAAUUUACGUCACUAUCGAGUAUGGAAAACCCAUAUAUAAAUUUAUAGGUUGAUAAACAUCAUAUCUCUCUACUACUCGAGCUGUGUAUCAUAAACUGGACAGUGAUUUUAUAACAUUUUGUAGAUCUGGAAAGUGAGAACUUCCCUGGGGAAGUGACUUCGAUGGCUACGUUCCAUUGCUGCAAAGUGAGGUCGUUGAGGUUGGAUGGUGGAAGAAACCAUGGAGAUGACGAUAGGCUAGUUUUCGACGAGUACGCAUAUCGAACGAGUGUGAGCAUCGGAGGCCAUCUCUUCAACGGAAUCUUGUACGAUCAAGGUCCCCAAAGUGAACGACGACAAAGCUCCGCCACGGCUGGAGUAGUUCUAGCUCCGCUUCCUCCUUUAGUUCCGUGCACUUUCCCUCUUCCUACUCUUCAUACUCAAUAAAAUCCUGAUUGCAGCCAAGUGUGAUCCAAUUAUGAAAAUAGAAUAUAUUUUGCUUUAUCCACAUUUUUUUUAUACAAUUUCACGAAAAGUUAUCGUCUUGUGAUUGUAUUAUACUUAUAUUUUUUUCCCGACGAGAGGAAUCAAGAUACCAAACAACAAACAAAUAUAAUUUAAGAAUCGAUUUAGAUUGUGAGAUCGAUCUCAACACAGUCUCGAAGAUAUUAAAGAGUCUUUUUACGCACCACUAUACGGGCAGUUACAUCAGCAGACCGCUGAACAACCUGCACGCGAAGCCGAAGACAAGUAGUCAGGGACGAGCUCCAAAGCGACUACUUCGGUGAGCAAAUCGAGAGAGCACCACCGUUUGCAAGAGCAUGGAUAGUCAAUCCCAUAAUGGGCCAUGUUGAUGGUGAUAAGUCCGUACGGGAAGAGAACCCGAUUGACAAAAUUAGCUUUGUUAUUAUAUUAACUAAAUUUGAAAACAUUUUGUAAACCUAUGUAUUGAAACAAUAAUUGUUAGAUUAUAGCCACACUUCAAAUAUAUAUUAUUACUUGGAAAUGGGAAUAUAUGCCGUCGUACUACAAAAAGAAACUGACAACAAGGAUUCCACAGAAUUACUAUUGCGAUGCAUGCAUUUAGAUCAUUGAAUUCUUUAGAAUAACUAGGAUUCCUUUUUUUUUUUUUUAAUGAUAAUCCAUGUUGUACAAGUUUCUAGACGGUACACUAAUGAAAAAUAAUAACACAUAAUAGAAUAAUUUGUUAACCCGGUUCUCUUUUGUGAAAAGAGUAUGUCUUGAGAUACUAACAAGCGAGGGAUAGUGACUACUAAUGGGGCGGAUCCAAUAUAAAAAUAUUAUCGAGCCGAACUUUGAGAAUAAGCCAAAUACCUAGUUCAAAAUGAUGCAGUCACAGAUAAAUGGAGGCAUCGACUUGGUACGUUGUGAUGAUGCUGAUUGCAAUGAUGAGAAACAAGUUAUAUACCAGCUGCAGGACAAACGAAUAAGGCACGAAAUAGUUCAAAAUUAUUGUAACAUCAAUAUUUAUUUGAACAAUUAUGCAUGGACACCCUUUAAUGUCUUAUUCUCUUGCUUAAUCAUUGAUGGUGUGAAUCUAAUUAUGCUCGACUCUUGGAGAAUGCAACUGACUAUUCUUUUUCUGAAAGGGCAAGGCAAUCAUCCUUCAAAGCUGGAAUCAACAAAUAAAGAUUAUCGAUGCUAACUAUGGCAUGAUAGAAUCCAUUUCUAAUUAAUUAUGGAAUAGCAGGCUAAAUUCACGGCAAACUCGUAAUUUAGUUAGUGGUUAACCGCAAACAAAAAAAAUGUAACUUUCGAUAAAAAAAUUUCUUCAUUUAUAAUAUGAUUAACUACAAAUCGAACCAUUUCUACACGCCGAACAUAAAAUCGGGGCGCCAAUAACACCUUAUAACAACCGGCCCAUGUCUCUGUCCACAUGCGUCCGGCCCAAAAGCGACGACACUAGCUGAUUAAGCCCACUAGAUCUGGCGCGAAGAUCAUCCGUUUCCCGCUUAAAGUUCUCCCGAUAUACAGCGCUAAAAUACACUACUCUUGAAGCUUUUUCCCUCCAUUACACUCUGAGCAUUCAUUUUUCCGUCUCCGACCGUCCGACGUCUCUCUGCAGCCAUGGCUUCCGACACAACUCCGACUCGCUUCAACAACAGUAAGCUCUCUUUCUUCAUCUACUUGCACAAGUAUGUGCGCAAUUGCAUUUUUAAACCUAACUAGUUGCAAAAUCUUGUUAACAGCACCUUCUUCUCCGGAUGACUCAUUCUCGAGUCCAAUCGGAGACACGGUUUCCUCUCCGGCAGCUGGAGGAUCUCGCCGGAGCAGACGAGGGAGAGGAGGCAGAUCCGCCGGAUACGACACUCCUCCUAACCAUAACAACUCGCGCUUCGCCAAUUCAGAGUCGACUCCAACUCCGCACCAUAGCGGGUCGACCUUCCGCCGGGGACGUCCGGCGACGCCUUCAUCCACUUCGGAGGGUGCGCCGUCGUCUGAGGCCGGGGAGGACAUGGACGAGGCGGCAGCUCCGACUUUUGUUUGGGGAACGAAUAUCAGCGUGCAGGAUGUGAAGAGCGCGAUUCAGAUGUUUCUGAAGAAUUUUAGGGAUGAAAGAAGUAGUCGAGGGACUGAGAUUUACGAAGAAGGCAAGUACAUGAAGGCGAUCCACAGGGUGUUGGAGAUUGAAGGGGAGUGGUUGGAUGUUGAUGCACACGAUGUGUUUGAUUAUAAUACUGAUCUGCAUGGGAAGAUGGUCAGGUAUCCGCUUGAGGUUCUGGCUAUUUUCGAUAUUGUACUGAUGGAUAUGGUGAGUCUAACCAACCCGCUAUUUGAAAAGCAUGUCCAAGUUCGGAUAUUCAAUCUGAAGAGCUCGACUAGUAUGAGAAAUCUCAACCCUUCAGGUGAGCUUCCACCCUACGCACCUUUGUGAAUAUGAUAUUCCAAGCAUGGAAUUGUACAUUUGUUUGUGGUUCUAUAGCAUUUUUGUUUGUCUUAGUUGUUUCAGUGAAGGCUAAAGUUAUAGUUUUCCUGACUAAUCGAUGAUCCUUUGUAUACAGAUCUGCUUUUUACUAGAAAAUUUGAUUGUAUUUUGGUGCAAUAUUUGUAGAUAUUGAGAAGAUGGUCUCACUGAAGGGGAUGAUAAUUCGGGCUAGUUCUAUCAUACCGGAGAUCAGAGAGGCAAUAUUUAGAUGCCUUGUGUGCGGAUACUUCUCUGACCCUAUUGUUGUAGACCGAGGUAAGAGUGCUUCAGCUGUUAGCUGGAUGCCUUUUGUGUAUAAUGUUGUUUGAGAUGCAAAUUAAAUGUGUGAAAUUGGGUGGCAGGUCGGAUCAGUGAACCUACCUCGUGCCUGAAGCAAGAAUGUCAGGCAAAGAAUGCUAUGACAUUAGUACACAACCGCUGCAGGUAACUUUUGCAUUUGGUUUGGUUGCGUACAAAUAUUAUCAAGGCAAUAGUAUAGUAUCCAACUGGUCGGAAUUCUUUGUUCAAGUAAGAAUUUCUGAAACUGAUGCUCCUAUUUCUUAACUUCAGGUUUGCUGAUAAGCAGAUUGUGAGACUUCAGGAGACACCAGAUGAGAUCCCUGAUGGUGGAACACCACAUACGGUCAGUCUUUUGAUGCACGACAAGCUGGUCGAUGCUGGAAAGCCAGGUGACAGAGUUGAGGUAAGGUUAUCAGUUGUUCACUUCCUGUGGAUAAUCAUGAUAUGCCUGAACUUACCUGCUAUCAUUACUUUGACUGAUGGAGUAACCUUUCUUCGGCAGGUGACUGGAAUUUAUAGGGCUAUGAGCGUCAGGGUUGGACCCACUCAACGAACUGUGAAGUCACUAUUCAAGGCAUGGUUUAAUCUUUCUGUGGUACUUGAGCAAUGGAGCUUUUAUUGGGAUAUAAUUCUGUCUAAGUGGUAUACCAUAUGUUUGCUGUGAUUGCAGACUUACAUUGACUGCCUUCAUAUCAAGAAAACUGACAAGUCAAGAAUGGAUGCCAUGGAAACUGAUAAUGGCCCUGAAAAAUGCGAUGAAGAUGUUGAAUUUGAUGAAGAAAAGGUCUUGGUCAAGACUUUCUCUUAGUGAGGCAUAACAAGACUCAUACUUCCUUUAUAUGAUCUCAGUUUCGUUCUUGUUUGAAAUUGUAGAUAAAGCAAUUGAGAGAGCUUUCAAAGCUGCCUGAUAUAUACGACAGAUUAACAAGGUCUUUGGCACCAAACAUUUGGGAGCUAGAUGAUGUGAAAAGGGGCCUUCUUUGUCAGGUAUCUUCUGCGUUUGGGUUUCUGUUGCUGUAUCUCGUUGUGAAGAACUAUCAAACUUAUUGCACCUAUCCUGGUUAAUUUAUGACUCGUUUUUUAGCUCUUUGGUGGGAAUGCCUUGCAAUUACCAUCUGGUGCGAGCUUCCGUGGUGAUAUCAACAUCCUAUUGGUUGGUGAUCCUGGUACAAGCAAGUCUCAGCUGCUCCAGUACAUACACAAGCUAUCACCUCGUGGUAUUUAUACCAGUGGAAGAGGAAGCUCUGCCGUUGGCUUGACUGCUUAUGUCAGCAAAGAUCCCGAAACAAAGGAAACGGUAAUACUAAGAGGAAUAAGUGGUCGUCCGUAGUUACUCCUUUUUCAUUUGAUCUGUGUACUUUACUCAUGCAACCAGGCCCCGAACCAUAUAAGUGAGUUAUAACCAAGUUAUAUCAUUGCAGGUACUAGAGAGUGGAGCACUUGUCUUGAGUGACAGAGGCAUAUGCUGCAUUGAUGAAUUUGACAAAAUGUCUGAAAAUGCCAGAAGCAUGUUACAUGAGGUAUGAUCCUAUUCCCUGUAUAAGAACCCUUAAUAAGUAUAAAGAUUUUCCUACAUUUGAUUGCUUUUGAAAGUUCGCAUCCUUUAUAGUUUCUAUUAAGGAAAUUGUAGCAGAACAAGAUAGGAGAAAACAUCACUGUCACACAUCAGUUGGAAUCUGCUUGUGCUGCUUGUUAUAUGCUUUUUUGUGGCUUAGUUGGUGAACAAUGCUUGAACUCUAGUCCUUGCUUUGCUUCUUGCAGGUCAUGGAGCAACAAACUGUUUCCAUUGCGAAGGCUGGGAUUAUUGCUACUCUUAAUGCCAGAACAUCAGUUUUAGCUUGUGCCAAUCCAAUUGGUUCUCGUUAUAACCCCAGGUUAUCCGUCAUCGACAACAUUCACUUACCUCCUACCUUGUUAUCCAGGUAAAGAAACAUAUUUUCUACUGAUAUUAUAAUAUUCGUUCUUGAUGGCAUGUUCAUUUUUGCUAUUGAAAUUGAAAUGACAUUAUUAUGACUACUUAUCGAGACAAGUUCUUUCUCAGGUUCGAUUUGAUAUAUUUGAUCCUUGACAAAGCCGAUGAGCAAACAGACAGGCACCUAGCAAGACACAUCGUUGCUUUACACUUCGAAGAUCCUGAGGUACCUAAAGACUGCAACAAGCCCGAGUAACGGACAUUAAUCUUGAUCCUACCUUCAUUAUUUUGGACUGAUCUUAAUCAAGAGGCUUUUUCAUCUACCUUGCAGAUCGCACAACAGGAUGUUUUAGAUAUUGGCACAUUAACUACAUAUAUAACCUAUGCUCGUAACCAUAUUCACCCUCAGCUAUCGGACGAAGCUGCUGAGGAAUUAACUCGUGGCUAUGUUGAAAUGAGAAGGAGAGGGAACUUCCCCGGCAGUAGCAAGAAGGUAUGGCGUGUCUCUAAAAACUAGUAGUAUUAGUAUAUGAACUUUGCAUGAACCUUGACAAACAAUGGUGCUUUUCUUUGAUCUGAUAUCCUUUGUAUGAAUACCCUUCAGGUCAUAACUGCAACACCUAGACAAAUAGAGAGCUUGAUACGUAUCAGUGAAGCACUUGCUCGAAUUCGUUUCUCCGAACAGGUUAGUUCAUAGUUUCUGCUUCAGCAUUGUAACAUUUCUUCUGUAAGUGGGUUAUGAUGUCAUACCUUUGGGGUUAUGCAGGUCGAAAAGAAUGAUGUAGCAGAGGCAUUCCGGCUUCUUGAAGUUGCUAUGCAGCAGUCUGCAACAGACCACUCUACAGGUAGCUAGACUCUUAUUGCUCCUCCCACACCACAUGGUUUUGUCUGAUCAUCAUCUGGUGCUAAAUGAACUUCUCUGGCAUUGUGUAAUGCAGGAACAAUCGACAUGGAUCUCAUAACAACCGGAGUUUCAGCCAGCGAGAGGAUGAGAAGGGAAAAUCUCGUAACAGCAACGACCAACAUAAUCAUGGAGAAGCUACAAAUCGGAGGACCCUCGAUGCGAUUAAUGGAGGUACCAUUCUAGUCUCUGCACCACAUCUACUUAGACAUCCUAUCCCGAUAUAUAAAAUAACCAUAAUGUUUGUUUUUAUGUGUAUGACCUCAGAUAUUGGAGGAGCUAAAGAAGCAGAGCUCUGUGGUUGAUGUUCACCUUCAUGAUGUAAGGCUGGCUUUCUCCUCUUGCCCUUUUCAUAUCCUCGUUAUCUGAAGAUGAGAUCAUCGAUGGUAGAAAGCAUAAUCUGUCUUUUUUUUAUUGCCUUUUAUUUUCAGCUGAGAAACGCAGUUGCAACAAUGGCGAGUGAAGGGCUUGUGGUUGUCCAUGGCGACAGUGUUAAGAGAGUGUAAGGAAGAACAUGGAAGGAGUCGAUACUUUCUAUGGUGUGGUUUUACUGGACUGGAGUUGAUGAAUGAUUGCUAGAUAUGUUAAGACCUUAUAGCCCAUUUUGACAUGUAAGAAAUGGUCUAGAAAUGAAGUACAGUAUGCUGGGUAUAAACUCUGGGAUGGUAUAUUAAUUUUUUUUGUCGAGAUAGUUCCUCGAAAUUAGAAGAUAGCAUUGCACAUAAAAAUUUAAUUAUCAGUUUAAAUAUCUUACAAUAAUUUUGUUAUCGGAUCGUCGAAUUGUCUGAAGCUAAAUUUCGAAUAAAAAUGUGAGCCGUUGACAAAUCUUGUCGAAUAAUAAAACCACGAAUAUAAGUUAUCUCCAAAUGGAAAAGCAGGUAAACGAUGUCAAGCAUCCACUGUAAAAGCCCCCGCAAAAAAUCAAUCCAAAAACAACAAGCAUAUGGUUUGAUUGAAAUUCCUGCUUGGCAUUUCGGUUCAGAAAUUCGAAAAAUCAUCUGAAUCCAAUUCGGACAACGCGUAUAAAAUCCGGUUUGAUCGGAUGGCGGAUCGGAUUCGAAUUAAUCCGAAUAUGAAGGUGACGGGCGGCGGGUGGGUAUCGGAUUCAUUGAUAUCUGAUUUGACUCCACCCGGAAGUCUAUAUAAUUGGAAAAAAAACUUAGAUUAGUUUGGUUUAUGUUGCUGUUGGAGAGAUUAUUGUUUGGCUUAUGUUGCUAGUUACUACAAUGAGCUUUGCUAAUGAAGGUUGUUAAGCAAAUUUAGUAUUUUGGAUAAUUUGAUGGUUGUUUGGUUGAUUUUGAUUUGGUUUAAACUCAGUUUUCAAUCUUGGUUUAGUAUGUUUUUUAUAAAAUCCGGAUCCCCGACCAAACCCGAAACCCGACAAUGGGUGAAGAUGGUAUAGAAUCUAAAUCCGAUUGCUAUAAUCGGACAAAAAUUUCCCAAAUCCAAAAAUACAAUAAAUGAGUAAUGAAUUUAUAUAAAUCCAACUCGAUUCCAAACCAACCCAUAUUACAAUUUUAGGUGAAAUUAAUCGAAAGAAUGGAAGAUAUUGGUCCAGAGUCCAUUGUCGAUGGAUAAGUGAGGCCCAUUAUCGAUGUGGUUGAAUAAUCACAAAAUAGGCUCAAGAAGGGCCCAUAGAAUAGAACCAGAAGGAGGGAGAAGAUUACUACGUGGAAGCUUGACGUGUGGUGGGCUAGCUAGCUAAGCAGAGCAGACGACGAAAGAACAAUCAAUCACCACAUCUCUCUCUCCCUUCUAUCUCUCCAUCUCUCUGCUCUGGCCUGGUCUGUAUACCAGAGAGAAGUAGAAGCACGGCUCGUGAUAACUAUAUUUCCCACUUCUCUGUCAGACAAACACUCAAUCUGAUCGGCCGAUCUGCGAUCGGGAAAAAUUCCCCGAGAUCUCAACAACAAUGGCGGGCGCAGGUGGAGGAGGAUGCUGCCCUCCGAUGGAUCUCUUCCGCUCCGAGCCGAUGCAGCUCAUCCAGCUCAUCAUCCCCAUCGAGUCUGUUCAUCUCACCGUCUCUUACCUCGGCGACCUCGGACUCAUUCAGUUCAAAGAUGUUCGUAGUCCUCCCUCCAUCUCCUUAUCUCUUUCAGCUGCUGCUGAAUUACUAGUUAGGGCAUUAUUCAAUUUGCGAACGUCCUUCGCACUGUGAAGAAGGGAUUUCUUCACGUCCGUCGGUGUACUAGAUUUUUCUCGAGAGCGAGGAAAUGGCUGUUUGGUUGGUUGAUGGUGUCUGACGUUGCGCGCUACUUGGAUUGUGAUUGUUCAUAAUGUUUCUUAAAAGCUGACUCUAAUUCGUUUCUUUUGUUUUUCUGCAGCUCAAUUCCGAUAAGAGCCCAUUUCAGAGAGCUUAUGCAGCUCAGGUGCAAUCUCUUCCUUUCUUUCCCUGUUUUUUUGGAAAUGUGGAUUGUGUUAGCUAAGGCGAUUGAUAAUCUUGAUGGUGUAUGUUUUUGUUCGAUUUGAUGUUUACUUUUCUUAAGACACAUUUGAAACAAUCAAGUGUUACAUUAUGUUGCGAAACCCUGUGAAAUCAAGGAAGUGGUAGAAUCAAAGUAAAUAAGUUUGUGUAUCCACGGAGCGGUUUCUUGCUAGAUACUUCAAGAUUCAGAUGCUGGUAAUGUAAUUUUAUUUACCAUUUGUCCUCUGGUAUAUGUAUGCAAAUUCAUUUUGGAUUUCGGUCUGAGAAAUAUAAGCUGAAAUUAGUCUAGCCUUCGUAGCUUGUGCUGUACGAGUACAUAUAUAGAUAGCAUAUUCAUUGCCUCAUAACGCAGCAACAAUUCACUAGCGUUUAAACCUCUAAGUUAUCUUUGGGCUAACGGGGCUUCUCAUUAUUUU
rnacentral:lncRNA from 1 species